rnacentral:lncRNA from 1 species
CUUAUGUGGCAUAGCUUACACUUGGUGCAGGUUCAUAGCCACUCUGAUUUUUCAAUUUUUCAAUUAGUAUUGUCUCCCGAUUCAUACUAACCCAUUUGCUAGCUCACGAUUAACAGAACCUCUUUACUCAGCUACGGUGCACCCGCCCUCCCACCCCCACCACGCAUGCCGGAAGUUCCUAUUCUCUUCCAUUCCGGGGUUGCUUCCCAUGAAGACUGCAAAUGCUCUCACCAUCCCUACCCCUCCCUACCCCUAGUCUCGACCUAUGUAAGGUAAUGUUCAUACAGUGCAAAAUAUGAAAGGCUAGCGUUAUGCAGGUUGUACUGAAGGCUACUUUACUACUUCAUUUUUUGCACAUGAAUUCUGCCAAAUGCGAGUUUUCUUUUCAGGUACACGAAGCUACUGUCCACCGUCCCAGGGUCUCUAGAGCCCAUGCCUUCCACACCCUCAGGGUUGGCACCCUCAACGUUGGCACUCUGAAAGGUAGGUCUGGUGAGAUAGUCGAGAUGCUUGAACGGAGAUGUGUGGAUAUAUGUUGCAUGCAAGAAAUAAGGUGGAGAGGAGGAUCAGCUAGGUUCCUCACAGGCAAGGAACGCAGGUACAAGAUUUUCUGGGCAGGGAAUACUGACGGGGUUGGUGGCGUGGGUAUACUUAUCGCUGAGAAAUGGGUAGAUAAAGUAAUUGAGGUAAUCAGAGUAAGUGACAGAAUACUUAAGAUUAGAUUAGUGCUUCAUCAUAGUUUAGCAACCAUUAUAUCAGCCUAUGCUCCUCAGUCGGGGCUACCCGAUGGACAGAAAGACCGAUUCUAUGACACUCUACUGCAGACUACCUCAUUGACGAACGACAGAGACCUUAUCUUUGUGGCUGGUGACUUCAAUGGUCACGUUGGACGACAUGCUGGGGGCUUCCAUGGCGUACAUGGAGGCUACGGCUAUGGCUCCCGCAACGAGGAGGGAACCAGGCUGCUGGAGUUCUGCGAUGCAAAUAAUCUUAUGAUUUGCAACACUAACUUCAGGAAACCUACCAGCCACCUAGUCACUUACCAAUCGGGCCAACAUACCAGCCAAAUUGACUACAUCCUUACAAGGCAAAGGGAGAGAUGGCUGCUUAUAAAUGCCAAAACCUUCCCAGGUGAAGAAUGUACCCCACAACAUAGACUGGUAGUUAGUGACUUUAGGAUCAGGACUAGGAGGACAACCAGAAGACGACAAAUAUGGAGAAGAAGGAUCUGGAAGCUUAAAGAUCCUGCAAAUGGACAGAGAUUUAGGGACAUAUUACUUGAAGCCUCUGACGAAGUAGAAGGGGAUAGAGCAUCACAGGGGGUAGAAGACAGCUGGACGUUUCUAAGGGACAACCUGCUGAGAGCCACUGACCAGAUCUGUGGCUGGUGCAAAGUCCCCUCUCGACCUAGAAUAACGUGGUGGUGGAACAAUAUUGUAGACAGGGCUAUUAGAGAAAAGAGACAGGCUUGGAAGGUCUGGAAAAAUGGGGGUAGCAGGGAAUUGUAUCAGACUGCCAAAAGAGAAGCUAGGAGACAGGUUUAUUUAGCCAGAGGGGAAGCAGAUAAGAAAAAAUUUGCCAAUGUUCUGCGCCGUGAGGACCAAAGACUGGAGGUGUUUCGUGUUGCAAGACAGUGUGUGAGAGAGAAUCGUGAUGUGGUAGGAGAGAAGUGUGUUCGCAUGGAAGAUGGUUCACUUGCGCUAAAUGAGGAUGCAAAGAGAGAGGUUUGGAGAUGCCACUAUGAAAGGUUGCUGAAUGAAGAAAAUGAAUGGGAUAAAGAGAGUCUGCCGAAUGUUGACCCAACAGAGGGACCAGCUAUCCGAGUUGAUAGUUCUGUGGUAGCUAAGGCAAUUAGAAGCAUGAAGACAGGGAAAGCCCCAGGCCCAUCAGGAAUCACUGCAGAGAUGCUCAAAAUGUCUGGUAGUGUCGGCUAUAGCCUAGUCACCCAUAUAGUUAAUCAGGUGAUACACAAAGGGGUCAUACCCAAUGACUGGUGUAGCAGUAUAAUAGUCAACUGCUACAAAGGUAAAGGUGAUGCCCUAGAUACAAACAACUACAGAGGUAUCAAGCUGUUGGACCAGGUGAUGAAGGUUACGGAGAGGGUCAUAGCCCAACUAAUUAGAGAGAGAGUUAGUUUAGAUGAGAUGCAGUUUGGGUUUGUGCCAGGGAAAAGUACUACUGAUGCUAUAUUCCUGGUAAGGCAGCUGCAGGAGAAAUACCUAGCCAAAGAUAAGCCCCUGUACCUGGCUUUUGUUGACAUGGAGAAAGCCUUCGACAGGGUCCCCCGAUCCCUUAUCUGGUGGGCAAUGAGAAAACUAGGGAUAGAUGAAUGGUUAGUGAGAGCUGUGCGGGCCAUGUAUAGGGACGCCGCUAGUAGGGUGAGGGUUGGAAAUGAGUACAGUGAAGAAUUCCGGGUAGAGGUAGGGGUCCACCAAGGCUCAGUACUCAGCCCCCUCCUAUUUAUCAUAGUCCUCCAGGCAAUAACGGAGGAAUUCAAGACAGGAUGCCCUUGGGAGCUCCUCUAUGCUGAUGACCUUGCUCUAAUUGCUGAGUCACUAUCAGAACUGGAGGAGAAGUUUCAGGUGUGGAAACAAGGAUUAGAAUCGAAGGGCCUCAGAGUCAAUCUAGCUAAAACCAAAGUCGUAAUCAGUAGGAAGGUAGACAAAUCACAAACACCUUCAGGUAGAUGGCCCUGCUCGAUCUGUAGAAAAGGUGUAGGUAGAAACUCUAUAAGAUGCACCAAGUGUAAGCUAUGGACACAUAAGAGAUGCAGCAAUGUCAAAGGAAGGCUAACUAGGAAGAUGGUUUUUGUAUGUGGCAGAUGCUCAGGAACAAUAAACACUGAAAAUGCUCUGAGACCAACUUCUGUCACUUUCCAGGGAGAAAAACUAGAAAUAGUUGAUAGUUUCCGUUACCUAGGUGACCAAGUCAGCAGCGGGGGCGGGUGUGCUGAAAGUGUAACUGCUAGAGUAAGAAUAGCUUGGGCAAAGUUCAGAGAGCUCUUACCUCUGCUGGUGACAAAAGGCCUCUCGCACAGAGUGAAAGGCAGACUGUAUGAUGCGUGUGUACGAACAGCCAUGCUACAUGGCAGUGAAACAUGGGCCGUGACUGCUGAGGAUAUGCGUAAGCUCGCUAGAAAUGAAGCCAGUAUGCUCCGAUGGAUGUGUAAUGCCAGUACUCACACUCGGCAGAGUGUAAGUACCUUGAGAGAAAAGCUGGACCUAAGAAGCAUCAGUUGUGGUGUGCAAGAGAGACGUUUGCGCUGGUAUGGUCAUGUGGCGAGAAUGGAUGAAGAUAGUUGUGUGAAAAAGUGCCACACCCUAGCGGUUGAGGGAACCUGUGGAAGAGGCAGACCCAGGAAAACCUGGGACGAGGUGGUGAAGCACGACCUUCGAACUUUAGGUCUCACCGAGGAAAUGACUAGAGACCGAGACCUCUGGAAGUGUGCUGUGCGCGAGAAGACCCGGCAGGACAAGUGAGUCCACAACCCGUGGCCUUCUACAUGGGAUGGAGCCAGCCUACGUAUGCAUACCUUCCCUUCUUGGGACACAAAACUCUACUUGUGAAGACGUGUUGAGGCAAGUGAGGAUCAGAAUCGAAAUCGAUCAAUGGAAAUUGCGGAUGUGCUACCAGUGCCGGUGGCAUGUCGAAACUCUGCUUGUGAAGACCCAUUGAGGCAAGUGAGGAUCAGAAUCGAAAUCGAUCAAUGGAAAUCGAUCAAUGGAAAUUGCAGAUGUGUUACCAGUGCCGGUGGCAUGUAAGAGAACCUUCCGUUUCGUGACCGUUGCCAGCACCGCCCCGUUUCGUGUUCGUUGCCAGCCUCGCCUGGCCCUCGUGCCGGUGGCACAUAAAAAACACCAUCCGUUCGUGGCCGUUUGCCAGCUCUGGCUGGCACCAGUGCGGGUGGCACGUAAAAAGCACCCACUACACUCACGGAGUGGUUGGCGUUAGGAAGGGCAUCCAGCCGUAGAAACACUGCCAGAUUUGACUGGGCCUGAUGAAGCCUUCUGGCUUCACAGACCCCAGCAGAACCGUCCAACCCAUGCUAGCAUGGAAAACGGACGCUAAAUGAUGAUGAUGAUGAUGAUGAUAUAUGUGUCACAUAAAUGCAAAUUUCAUGUACAAAUUUGUAAUUGAAUUAUUGAGUAUUAAUUGAAAUGGCUAUAAGAAGUGAAGAUGACCAAUUUGUUAACAAUAAAUAAUUGUCAACUUACUUAUCUCCAUUUUCUUUUCUUCUUUUAACUGAAUAUAAACUAUAUAUAUAGGCACAGGCGUGGCUGCGUGGCAUCUUGUGCAGGUGUCUUCUACUAUAGCCUCACGCCGACCAAAACCUUGUGAGUGUAUUUUAUAGAUGGAAACUGAAAGAAGCCCGUUAUAUUUAUUUGUGUGUGUGUGUGUGUGUGUAUUUAUGGGUCUGUGUCUUUGUGUCUGUAUUUGUCCUGCCACCACGCUUGACAACAGGUGUUGGUGUGAUUACAUCUCUAUAACUUAGCAUUUCAGCAAAAGAGCCUGAUAGAAUGGGAACACUUGAAAAAGAUAAGUCCUGGGUUUGAUUUUCUCAAUUAAAAAUACUUCAAGGCAGUGCUCCAGCAUGACUGCAGUCAAGUAAAAGAAUAAAAGAACAUACAUACAUAUAUACAUAAUUAUAUAUAUGCAAGAAGAUAAUUUUAUAAGUUCAUUAAACCGAAAAGUAAUUUCGUUAAACUGAAGAAGAAAAAUAGAAAUAGGGCAUCAGCUAGAAGUGCUCAGAUGACACAAAGGUGAAAGGAGGAAUAAAUCAAAAUGUAUAAUGACUAAACACUCCAAUUGGUUAUAAUUUAUCAAUAUAUGAUAGAAUUAAUUUUAAAAAAACUGAGAAGAAAAACACAAUGCAAGGAUGUGGUACAUGCAAUGUAUUAAUAAGAUGCUCAGAGAAGUAAAGAAAGAGUGGUUGUUUCACAUUUCAAGCAAAGCUCUUCUUCGAAAACAGGAGACAUAGGAAAGUCCAACCUUUUAUUCAUGUAUAUGUGUAUAUUUUAUACUGUUGGGUUUUACCAAUGGGUGCCCUGUUGUUUUAAUAUAUAUUUAUAUUCAAAGAUGGUGAGCUGGCAGAAACGUUAGCACACUGAGUGAAAUGCUUAGCAGUAUUUCGUCUGUCUUUACAUUCUGAAUUCAAAUUCUGCUGAGGCUGACUUUGCCUUUCAUCCUUUCAGAGUUGAUAAGUUAAGUACCAGUUGCAUACUGGGGUCGAUCUAAUCAAUUGGCCCCUCCCCCAAAAUUUUGGGCCUUGCACCUAGAGUAGAAAAGAAUGUAUAUUUAUAUUCAAUUUAUGACAAUUUGGGAAUGAUAUAAAGUUGUUUUGACCGAUUGGAGCAUUUAUUCAUUAUAACUUUCAAUUUAUUUCUACAUAUAUAUAUACAUACACACUCACACACACACACACACACAUAUAUAUAUAUAUAUAUAUAAGCACAACCACAAAAAUAGACACACAUAGACAUACACACACAUAUAUAUGAUGGGCUUCUUUCAGUUUCCAUCUACAAAAUCCACUGACAGUGUUUAGGUCAGGCUGAGGCUAUAGUAGAAGACACCUACCAACGAUAUCACACAGUGGAACUGAACUUGGAAUCAUGUGAUUGGAAAGUAAGCUUCAUACUCCACAGCCACACCUAUAAUAUAUAUAUAUAUAUAUAUAUAUAUAUAUAUAUAUAUAUAUAGGAAGGUUUACGAAAAUAAACAAAAGACGAAGGCAGGUGGAGUACAAACAAAUAAUGUAUUAGUAUGGCGCUCAGGAAUAGAAAUAAAACAAGUCUUUUACAUUUCGAGCCUACGCUCUUCGACAGAAAGAUACACAGAAAAGAAACAAGAAGAGAAACAAGGAGAGAAAAAAAUUGCGUGUAGGGGCUAACAAUCCAACAUGGCGUUCUGAUUUCAGAAGUCAGAGAUCGGAGGUCAAACAUUAGAGGUCAGACGGACGUUAGCCGCUAGAGGGAUAGUAGGGGAGAUAACAGGGUCAAGUGACUUCGCUCAAACCUGAAGGUGCAUGUGUUCAUAAGAGAGUAUGUAUGUGCAUGUGGAAGAGGGCUGGUGGUUUGGACGUGUGUAUGUAUGUAUGAUGUGAUGUGUAAUGUUGUAUGGUGUAGUGUAGUGUGGUGUGGGGGAGAGAAGAGAGGGAAGGGGAGAUGAGAGAGGAGGGGAGUGAGGGAGCAGAGAGAAAGAGAGAGGGGGAAGAGGAAAGGAGGGAAAAAGGGAGAGGAAGAAGAGGGAAGAAGGGAGAGGAGGGAAAGAGAGUAGGGGUGAAAAGAUGAAGGACUGAAGAGAAGUAGGAGUCACGGGGUGGGUUAGAUGAAAAGGGGGGGGAGAGUUGAGACCAAAUGGCGUAAAAGAGCGAAGAGAGAAGAUUAAUCCCUGUUCACGGUGCAAAUGGGAAUCUGGAUGGCCUCUGUGCAAGGACAAUCCGAACACAGAUAGGUGUUCCAAGGAGUGACUGGUGGAGCAGAAAUUGCAUGAGACCAGUGUAUCGUUGGCAAGGCGGAUGUCUCGGAGGUGUUCCGCGAACCUGUCAGCCAAGCGGCGUCCCGUUUGUCCGAUGUACAGGGAAUGGCAGAGAGAGCAGGAGAUGCAAUAGAUGAUAUUGCUGGAGGUGCAGGUGAAGGAGUCGAGGAUGCGAUAGGGUCGGUGAUGAGUGCCAGUGAGGAGGGUGGUGUUGGAGAGGUAAGGGCAAGUGCGGCAACAUGGUGGGAGCAGGGGAACGAGCCAGGUUGGGAGGUAGGGUCAGGGAAGAAGCUGUGGACCAAGAGGUCUCGUAGGUUAUGGGCUCAUUUGAAAGAGGGGAGGGGUCGGUUAGGGAAGAGGUGUGAAGUGGACGGGUCAGACUGGAGAUGCCGGAAAGCUCUAAGAAUGGUGCGUUGGAGAGGUAGGGUGGUGGGGUUGUAAGUGAGGGGAAAAGGGAGGCGGGAGACUGCAGGGCGGGUUUGGGGGGAGAGAGCAGAUGCACGGUCUACGGAACGUGCUCUGGCAAGGGUGGUGUGGAUAGUGGUGAGGGGAUAUCCAUGUAAGGUAAAGUGGCAAGCCAUGAGUUGAGACUGAGUCUCAAAGUCAUGGUCGUCACUACAGAGUCUACGUAGACAGAGGAAUUGGGAAUAGGGGAUAGAAAGCUUAGUGUGUUUGAGGUGGGAGGAAGAGACGUUUAGGUAUGAGUGUGAGUCUGUGUGUUUGUAGUGAAUGGAGGUGGUAAGAUAUAUAUAUAUAUAUAUAUAUAUAUAUAUAUAUACAUACAUACAUAUAUAUGUGUGUGUGUGUGCAUAUAAAAGUAUAUAUAUAUAUAUAUAUAUAUAUAUAUAUUAUAGGUGUGGCUGUGGAGUAUGAAGCUUACUUUCCAAUCACAUGAUUCCAAGUUCAGUUCCACUGUGUGACAUCGUUGGUAGGUGUCUUCUACUAUAGCCUCAGCCUGACCUAAACCCUGUCAGUGGAUUUUGUAGAUGGAAACUGAAAGAAGCCCAUCAUAUAUAUGUGUGUGUGUAUGUCUAUGUGUGUUUAUUUUUGUGGCUGUGCUUAUCCAUUUCCACCACUGUUUGACAACUGAUGUUGGCUUGUUUAUGUCCCCAUAACUUAGUGGUUCAGCAAAAGAUAGCAAUAAAAUAGUACCAGGCUUUAAAAAAAUUCUGGGCUUGAGAUUCCUUUAAUUAAAUCUUAAGGUACUGCCCCAGCAUGGUCACAAGUAAAAGAUAAAAGAUAUAUACAUAUAUAUAUAUAUUGAUAGAAAUGGUAAGACAAUAAAAGAAUGAAAGCAAUCUCGAUAUUAUGUAAAUAGAGGAAUUUAUCUGUAAAUGUAAUGUGACAACUAUUUGGUAGCCAUGAUAAAACUCUGAGUUUCUGCCCCAACAUCCGAAACUCAGAGUUUUAUCAUGGCUACCGAAUAAUUGUCACAUAUUGUAUUUACAUAUAUAUAUAUAUAAAACCAAAUUGAGGGUGUGGAACAAGUACAACAUUUGCUACAUAUAUUUCUUAAGCAACUGGAGUUUGUGAUGCAAUCAUUAUGCAAUGAGCUCUACUCAGCAUAGCUAAUCAUCAGGCUGAGAAUACCUUAAUGAAAAUAACAUUGUUGUCUGGAAUUUCUAAGUCAGCCACAAUAUGAUGAUGAGAUCAACUGAAAAGAAAAGCAAGUAGUGAAAAAAUAAAAACAAAAAAUUAAUAAAACAAAAAUCAGGGAAGUAAGUUUAGAGAAAGCAAAGGGCGAGAUCUAAAAUAUGCAUGAGUGGGUGUGGUUUAGAGUUGAGGAGUAGGAAGAAAAGAAGAAAGAGAAGGAAAGAAAGAAGAAAAACAGAAAAAAGGAUUGUUAUCACUAUGAGGAAUGUUUUGUGGUCAUAAAAAUUUAUUCCAGAGAUGUAAUGACAGAUUUUUACUGUUGCCCAAGUUAAUAUAGGUAAAAGGGUGACUUUGUUUUACAAUAGACACCAGUACACAGGCAUGCCACAUCAUAAUACAUACACUCCCUACACAUAUCUAGAUACAAACAUACACUCAUACAUAUGUGCAUGCACACUAACUCACCCACACAUAAAAGUACUUUAGGGUAUAUGAACACAGCAUUCAUAAUCAUGAAGGCACAUACACAUAUGUACAUAGACAUACACACAUACAUACAUGCACAUAAAUACACAUGCAUACAUACAUAAAUAUACACACACAUAUAUGCAUACAUAUAUACUCACAUACAUUCGCAUAUAUUUGCAUACAUAUACACAUACACAAAUACAUACAUACAUGUACUUAUAAAUACAGCUACACUUCUACAUAUGCUUAUAUAUAUACACAUAUAUAUGCAACUACAAUUAUAUGUGAUAUUGCCAAUGCAUCGUCCCUGUAGAGGCCAAAGCUAGAUAGGCUCGGAAAGGACCUCACAAGUACCAUGAACUCCCUCGAACUGAAAGUCACUAUAGAGACCAACCUGAAAACAGAUUUCUUUCACGCGACCCUGGACCUGGAAUCAGGUGCCUAUAGACCCUUUAGGAAACCAAAUGAGAUGUUGUCUUACAUUAACACAGGUUCCUGCCAUCCAGCCAUAGUGUUCAGGAACCUGGUUAAGGGCAUCAGUGGGAGAAUCUCCAGCUUGUCUUCAAGCAGAGAGAUCUUUGAUGCUGCCGUCCAACACUACAACCAGGCUCUGGCUGCCAGCAGUUUCAAGGAUAGUAUUAGUUACAUGCCAGACCCUAGCUCCACCAAGGGAAAGUGCCACCGGAAAGUACUGUGCUUCACACCACCAUUCUCUUUAAACAUUAGGACCAGAGUAGGUAAGAUCUUCCUUAGUUUAGUUGAUAGACACUUCCCCCGUACCAAUAGAUUCAACAAAAUAUUUAAUAGACAUACCCAGAGAUUAUCCUUUAGCUGUGCACCUAGUGUAAAAAAUAUUUUAGUAGGUUGGCCAAGACCCGAGACUGAGGCAGGAUGUUCAUGCAGGGGUAACACAACUUGUCCACUAAAUGGCCACUGCAAUAUGGAAACAGUUGUUUAUGAAGCAGAAGCAACAGCAGCAGGACCCAAUAGACAACCUAGCAUGUGGAAAUAUGUGGGGGCAACUGAAGGUCUCUUCAGAACCUGUUUUAAUAACCACAAGUUCUGAUUCAACAUCCCAGAGAGACGUAAUGCCACAACCCUAGCCAGGCACAUCUGAGCUUUGAAAGAAAACACAAUGGAGUACAGAAUAAAGUGGAAGAUUCUAGAAAGGUGCAAGCCAUACUUCAGUAGCAGCAGGAAGUUUAGAUUAUGCCUAGCUGAGAAGAGAGCGAUUCUAAAAGAUACCCAACACCCAGAUGUUUACCUGAGUAGCAGGAGUGAGGUGUUUACUCCUUGCCUGCAUGAAAGGAAGUAGAUUCUAUCGUAUCUGCACGCCACACCAUGACUGCAACCACAGGUCCCAUGUCUUAAACUUCUGCAAACGACCUUCCACCAAUGACCUAGAACCUGGCAAAAAAGUUUGACCAAGACACACACAUACACACCCCUAUAAGGCAGACACCUUGUAAAUAACUAUCUCCCACCACUCCCAACACAUACUCCCUCACUCAAAUUAUACUCACACAGACCCCCCACACACACUCACGCACACAUUACACACCUCACACUAAUGUAACAAAAAACCCACAACUUUAUCCUUUACUGAAAGAAAACAGACCAAUGAACACUGCUAUAUAUACCUACACACCUGGAUAAAAAUAUACAUACAACACUGCUACACAUACCACACACCCCAUGUCACACACCCUAUCCCUACAGGGACACCACAUUAUCAAUACAGGCUUUCCCCACUUCAAGAUAACUCUUGCCAGCUUCACAGCAUACCCAACCAAGGGACAUAACUCCUAGCCCAAUCCUCUGGACCUUGUUUUGUUUCAUUACAGACCCUGUGUGUCAUGUCAGGCUAGAGAUGGGAACGAUGAUUUCCCUUCACAAAUACUGAUCAGGCACAGACAAUGUGUUGUUAGCCAGCUGGAGGAGAUGUCUUCCUGGGGCUAUAAACUGUAGUAACAUCGUCCCAUAUGGGUCAGUCAUAUUUAGGUGGCAAAUAUACUUCACGAUGUCAUGCUGCUACUGUUUACAUCUCACUCAGAGAUUUACUAUUGUGUUUUUCUCCUUUUUCAGGAUCAGCAACUUUUUGUCACCAGAAAAAGCAUAUGUAUUUGCAUUCAAGAUCACUUCUCAUCUCUAGCUGGUGAUUGUUACACGCUGAUGAUGGGUUACUGCUCAGAAACCUGGGUCCGUGUAUAUCACAUCAGGCUAGAGAUGGGAACGAUGAUUUCCCUUCGCAAAUACUGAUCGGGCACAGACAGUGUGUCGUUAGCCAGCUGGAGGAGAUGUCUUCCUGGGGAUAUAAACUACAGUAGCAUAAUCCCACAAGGGUUAGCCAUAUUUAGGUGGCAAAUAUACUUCAUUAUAUAUAUAUAAAAUAUAUAUAUACAUCCGCAUAUACGCAUAAAUAUUAAUACACUUUCCUAUACUGUGUCAGGGAACUUUCGCACACACAUAUAUAUAUAUAUUUUUAAAUAUAAAUAUGGGUUUUACUUGUACGUAUGAGUGCGCAGGUAUAUAUUUAAAAAUAUAUAUAUAUAUGUGUGUGCGAAAGUUCCCUGACACAGUAUAGGAAAGUGUAUUAAUAUUUAUGCGUAUAUGCGGAUGUGCGUGUGAGUGUGUGUGUUAGUGUUAGACACUGCUGCCUGUACUGAUAUGUCUAUAAGCAAUACAAUGACAGACAUGCACUCUCCAAUAUUGGAGAGAUGUGUAGGGGUGUAUUCAUGUGUGUGUACAUGUGUGUGUGAGUCUCUGUGUGGAUGUAUGGGUUUAGGGUUAGAUGUGGAUGUGUAUGUUUUGCUUGUACGGUGUGGUGGAGAUCGGGCGGUUCUCAACUGACCAACCGUGAGGAAGAUAAUGAUAAUUUUAAAUUCAAAUCCAAUAGUAUAUUUAUGCCAUAAGGAAAAUUAUUAACUGGAACACGGACAUACAUAUAUUCUGCUCUGGAUCAUAAUGUAAGAGUUAUUAAUAAUAUUAUGAAUGAUAACAAUGAUAACAUUAAUUGUAUUGACAACGAUAAUGAUACUAACUUUAAUGACACUUUGGAAACUAUUAUGAAGUAAUAUAAUGUACUAUUGACUAUGUAUAUUUACAUCUAGAUAUUAAUUUGUGUAUGUUUAUUAUCACAAUAUUAAGUCGAAAAACUGAGACAUUUGGAGUGGAACACAUAUAUAUGUUUACUAAUUUAUAUUAUUUAUUUAUAUCAUUAUGUAAAUGUAUAUUUUUUUAUAUGUAUAGGAGUGUGAGUAUAUACACUCAUAUGUAUAUAUAUAUAUAUAUGUUGUAUUGUGGGUACACACCCACACUCAUGUGGGUAUAUGUGUAGACUGUGUUAUAUUUCAUAAUCUCCGAAUCAUUUAUAUCUAUAUAUUGACCAACCAUUGGUAAAAUGAGACAUAAUUAUCGACAUGGCUGAAACAGCUGUAAGAUCUAAUGUAUGCUUAUAUUUAUAUUUACUUGUAUUUAUAUUCUUUUUUUAUAUAUAUUCUAAUUAUUAUACAACAUUACUCUUUUAUGUACACUUUUUUAUGUACAUUCCUUUAUGUACACUGAUUUGUUCUGCUUUUUAUAUUUAACCCUACAGCCUCUUAUGUGGUGGUUUAAUAAAGUAUGUGGUUGAGUAUUAUCUGGUAAUUGAUAUUUGAUUUAGAUGUGUUUCUUCAUUUUCUUAUCUUGUAUAUAUAUAUAUAUAUAUAUAUAUAUAUAGUAUAUAAUAUAUAUUUAUAUAUACACACACAUAUAUAUAUAUAAUAUAUAAUAUAAUUAAAUAAAGAGGGCAGAAAUUGAUAUCAAUCAAUUAACAUCUAUUUAAACCAGUGGUCUAGCAUAUUUUUAAAAAUUCCGAAGAUUUAAAAUUAUAUUAUAAUUAGUAAGAGGAAUGACCACUGAAGUGGAUUCCUAAUAUGCUAAAGAUAGAUGUCAAAUCGCUUUACCAUGAAGAGUGUGUUUUCAAGAAAAAUCUCAGCAAAAAUGCGAAAAUCUCAGAAUGCGAAAAUCUCAGAAUGCGAAAAUGAGCAAGACAAAUGAAAAUAUACAAAAUAAAACAAUUACCUACAUAUCAUGAUUUCAUUGUUAACACUUGCAUAAUGUAAACUGCAAAUAUCUGCAACUCUUCAGCAUAGUCUGUCAUGUUACAAACAUAUUUCACGGAACUAUGCACAGAAACUUUCACCCAAAAGAAAACUUGUGAACAGUUCUGCAAAUUAUAUUUGGGGGGUAACUUUCAAAUGUCUUCAUUUUGGCGCGUUUUUGUAAUAUAUAAUAUAUAUAUGUAUAUAUACAUAUGUAAAUGUGUAUAUAUAUAUAUGUGUGUGUGUGUGUGUGUGUGUGUAUAUAUAUAUAUGUAUGUAUGUAUAUAUAUAUAUAUAUAUAUAUACAUACAUAUAUAUACAUAUAUAUAUACACAUAUAUAUAUAUAUAUAUAUACAUACAUACAUACAUACAUACAUAUAUAUAUAUAUAUAUAUAUAUAUAUAUAUACUAGCAGAGUUACCCAGCGUUGCUCGAGUUACAUACAAUUGAAGAAUUAGACAUUUUAGAAAUAUUUUCUGUAAUGAACUGGAAUACUUAUGUUUCAAAUUUCAUCAAAAUUGCAGAUGAGGGUUAUUUCUCUCUUUACACACCCUAAAAAAAUUUGUAAUCAUGCCACAUGUAUCCCAUACUACUGACUUUUAUGUGCAUAUUCCAAAAUUCCAGUCUUAUAGGACCUGUUAAAAGGAUUUUGCUCCUGAGAAAUGGAGGUCAUGGAGCUCUAAAAUGAGAGCAUUAAUGCCCCUAUUGGGGGUGGGCAUCUUAAUGUCAACCAGGGAAGUUAAAUUGUGGAGAAUCUUUUUAACUUGGGUCUUAUAUCUAUUGUUUGAAUUUCUUUGAAAUAGGAAAUAUAUGUUCACUGGGUUUGUAAAAGAGAGCAAAGCUACAGGAAACCAAAAGAUGAAUGAUCACAAUAAGCAGUCAGCUACAGUACCCUAGUCGUUACCACUCCUAAUGUAGUAUUCCUCACCAUGCAGGUGACAGGCACAGCCGUAAGAUGCAUUACGAAUCUAUAGCAAUUGGAAGGGCAUGACCCAACUGAAAUAAACAUUAACAACUGUGUGACGUGAGGGCUAAGGAGAAAUGAAAGUUGGAGUUUGAAAAUGACCACCAUACUGAUACGUAACUGGACAGAAUAAAUAUACAAUCUAUAAAUGUCUUUGAAUAACCAGUCACUCAUCUGGGAAGGCCUUGAAAUCAAUGUUACCAUGUGGGGACUAUGUGUGACCCAGUGAUAAUAAAAGGACUGCACUUUAAUAAAAAAGAUCUGCACUUUACAACUGAAUCAGUGGAGGCAAAAAUGCCUCUCAUUUACUUGACAAUUUAUGCAGCACAUUGCAGAAAUCACAAUCUAAGUGUAUGUUAAAGCAAACUCUUACACUGUUGCACCAUUGAAUUACAAAUAAUGCUCAUCUUCUAUGCUCGGAUGACCCUGCAGCUUCCAAGAGUACAACUAUUCGUCUUUGCUUAGAUAAAAUGACUAAAUUGUGGGUGUUAAGUCCCCAUGAAGGGGUCUUUCUAACUUGUAAGAAGAUAAAAUUUUAUAAAUAUUACUUCAUUUGUAUCUAAUAUCUAUGGUUAAAAUUUCAUCAACAGCAAAAAUAUAUGAAUUGUCAUGGGGGUUGUGGCCAUUAUGCAUAGAAUAUAAUUUCCAAAUUUCGUAAAGGCCCAUUCAGUACUUUUGACUUAGUUUUGGAUCAUAAAAGAAAUUACUAAAAUUUGGGAGUUAAGGCCCCCAUUAAGGUGUCUUAGAAUCCUCAUGUGAAGUGGAAACUUUGAGAAUACUUCUUGAUGUGUGUCAAUUACCCAUGGUUGAAAUUUCAUGAAUUUUCAUGGGGGUUCUGCCCCCUUUAAGCCAUCUGAAAUUCAAACCAAACAUAUUGCAUUAUACCCGCCCUUAUGCAUUGAAUCUAAGUUUCAAAUAUCAUAAGGAUCCAUUCAGUAAUUUUGGUCCAUGAAAUUGUAUGAAACACACAGCAUUACCCUUCUCCCUAGGCUUCGAUUUUGUGUUCCAAAUUUCAUUAUGAUCGGUGCAGCAGUUUUCGACUGUAUAAGUAAUACACGAACACAUAAUGACAUUGUCUUUGAUAUAAUAAAUAUGAAUGUACACAUAUACAUACAUGUAUAUAUAUAUAUGUGUGUGUGUGUGUGCAUUAUAUAUAUAUACACACACAAAGAUAAAUUAAUAGAUACAACUGAGUGGACAAACAAAAAUAUGAGACACAGCGUAGUGCUUUUUUUAUGUUGAUAAGCCUGGUACUUAUUCUAUUAGUUUCUUCUUGUGAAACCAGUAAGUUAUGGGGAUGUAAAUAAACGAACAGCAGUUGUGAAGCAGUGAUGAGGGUGAAACACAGAAACAAAGUCACACACAUACACUUAAAUAUAUACAUACAUAUAUAAAUUAACAAUUGAGGAUAAAAUCUUUAAAAGAAAUUAUCAGUAGUCAGCGUGAAAAACCUCGUAAGAGAAAAAAUCCGUAAAUUUUUCCUCUUUGAAAAUAUUCAUUUAUAUUAUAUUGAGGGUACUACUAUUCGUAGAUACCACACGCUAAGAGGGACCAAUGCGGUCAAAACUACUAAAAAUAAACAAAAUUUUACCGAAUGCAAAACUUCAAAACACAUCAUUUUAAAAAAGAAUUCAGUUACAUAUCACAUGUGAUUUCGCAUUUAAUGCAGAAUAUGCAUUUCAUGUUCGUCAGUGCAACAAACUCAAGAAAUAUAAGAAAAAACAUAACAUUACAAACUCGAUAGCCAACCGUAGAAUUCGUCGUAGCAUGUACGAAUGUUUAUCCUUACAUAUCUAUGAAAAUGGCAGGCUUUUUCGCAAUGCAUUUUGGUAACAAAUUGCCUAGUCGGAAUAAAAAUUCAGUAUUGAACUAUUCCGGUGAAAAAUAUAAAUUAACAAUUGAGGAUAAAAUCUUUAAAAGAAAUUAUCAGUAGUCAGCGUGAAAAACCUCGUAAGAGAAAAAAUCCGUAAAUUCUUCCUCUUUGAAAAUAUUCAUUUAUAUUAUAUUGAGGGUACUACUAUUCGUAGAUACCACACGCUACAUACAUAUAUAUAUAUAAUUGAUUUUUUAAGUUUCUGUCUACGAAAUCCAUAUAUAUAUAUAUAUACACACACACACACACAAGGAUAAAUUGUAUGGGCAAACAAAAAUAUGAGAUACUGCCUAGUGUUUUUUUUUUAUUUUGAUAAGCCUGGUACUUAUUCUAUCAGUUUCUUCCUGUGAAACCAGUAAGUUAUGAGGAUGUAAAGAAACGAACACCAGUUGUGACGCAGUGAUGAGGGAGAAACACAAAGACGCACACACAGACUUACAUAUAUACAUACAUAUAUAUACAAUUGAUUUCUUUCAGUUUCUGUCAACAAAAUCCACUGACAAGGCUUUGGUUGGUCUGAGGCUAUAGUAGAAGACACAUGCCAAGUCACCACACAGUGGGACUGAAUCCAGGACCAUGUGUUUUGGAACGAAGUUUGUUACCACACAGCCACACCUGCACCUAUGUAUGUGUAUGUGUGUAUGGGUGUAUAUAUGUAUACAUGUAUAUAUGUGAAUAUAUAUGUGUACAUAUUACAUGUACAUCUAUAUAUAUAUACAUCUACACAUAUACAUGUAUACAUAUACAUCUGUAUGUAUAGAAAUAAAUGUAUACAUAUACAGCUAUACACACACAUACACACACACAUACAUAGGUGCAGGUGUGGCUGUAUGGUAACAAACUUCGUUUCAAAACACAUGGUCCUGGGUUUAAAUUUAAAUUUAAAAUAAUAAGAGUGAGAAAUUGAAUAUUAAUUUGAUUAAUAUGAAUUGAAAACCAGUGGUGUAGCAUAUAAGACCAUAAUGGAUCUUCUUCUGGCAAAAUGGAUGUCCACUGUUAAUGGUUCAUCCCUCUUAUAUAAUAGUUUGACUUUAAUAGUUUCAGUAUUAAAGUGAAAGUAUCUGACAUUACAAUAGAGAGAUGUUUUUGCUUCACUUUUAACAUGUAAUACUGAAAUAGUGGAGAAGAUUUGGUAUUGCUGUGGGCUCGCCCUAGGCAAGAAGUUAAGGCAUGUGUAAAAUUUGAAUGAAAUUGGUUGUGUAGUUCUCAAAUUUUAGGGAUUCACACAGACAGACAGACACACACAUUCUCAGUUUUAUAUAUAUAGAGAUAUAUAAUGGGUGAAUAUUCAAAAACGAAUAUUUAUAAAGAUAUUAUUAUUGUUAUUACUAUCUGUGGUAAAUAUGAACUGAUAAUAGCAACAACAAAAAUAUAGGUGGCUGCAGGCAUUGAACAGCGUUAGAAAGCUAUGCAAUAAAAAUUUAUAUUUAUCAUAAGGGCACAUGAAGUGCCUACCUGCUAGAAAGUGGAGUUUAAAACCUUCAACUUAACAACCAAUGACACUGAAAAAUUCUAAGAUAACAACAGUAGUUAGGCAAACAAGUAAAGAAAUUAGACACACCAUCCACAAUCUUCAGUAUGUUUUACCAAGUGAAAAAUUCAACUCAUCACAUUGAAGUCUACUGGCUUUCUGACUUGUUUCGUGCCAAAUUCAGGAAAACUUCAGUGUAAAUAUAUUUGUAAUAAGGAGUAAAUAUUCAAAAAUGAAUAUUUAUAAAGAUAUUAUUAUUGUUAUUACGGUAAAUAUAAAUUGAUAAUAAUAACAACAACAAUAUAGGUGGCUGCAGGUAUUAAAUAGUGUUAGGUAUCUAUACAAUUAAAAUUUAUAUUUCUCAUAAGGGUACAUGAAGCACCUACCUGCUAGAAAGUGGAGUUAAAACCCUCAACUUAACCACCAAUGACACUGUAAAAUUCAACAGAUAACAGUAGUCGGGCAAACAAGCAAAAGAAUUUGAUAUACCAUCACAGCUUAAUGCUAUAUAGUUUUGUAUUUGGAUAUACUUGUCUCAUGAUUUUGAGUUAUAUAUGUAUGUGUGUGUGUGCGUGUAUCAUCAUCAUCAUCAUUGUUUAACAUCCGUUUUCCAUGCUGGCAUGGGUUGGACAGUUCGGCUGUGCACCAGGACCCAAUCUGAUCUGGCAGUGUUUCUACAGCUGGAUGCCCUUCCUAAUGCCAACCACUCCGUGAGUGUAGUGGGUGCUUUUUAUGUGCCACCGGCACAGGGGCCAGAGUCGGUGGCAUCGACCAUGAUCGGAUGGUGCUUUUUACAUGCCACCGACAACAGUAGCCAGUCAAAGCGGCACUGACAUCAUAUUUUUUAGUAACAGUUUAAGUUACAACUCUGUGUGAUUUAAGUUUUGUGGAUUUAUAUAAUGGACCCAUCUCAUCAGAUAUUGGAAGAAUAGUAAGGGAUUGAAGACAAAUUCAGAAUGGCUUCUAGAUGUUAGGCCCUUGUUGGCCAGCUCAGAUCAUGUGUUGUUAAUGCCAUGGAAGUGACACCAUUCUUUUCUGUAUUCUUAGCUCCAUGUACUCGGACAAGAUGUUGGUUUUUUAAUUAGUAUCAAGAAGCUCCUAGCUAUAUUAGUUGAAACUUCUAGGAUAAAAGAAGAACUGAACCUGAUUAAUUUUAUCUUUUUAACUCUAGAUAUGUUGUGUGUGUGUGCAUGCAUGUGUGCAUGUGUAUGUGUUGCAUGUGAGUGUGUGUGCAUGAAUGUAUAUGUAUGUAUUUAUGCAUGUAUGUGUGUAUAUAUAUAUAUAUAUAUAUAUAUAUAUAUAUAUAUAUAUAUAUAUGUACAUAUCAUAUUUUACCAUAACAUAUAUCAUAUAUGAAGUCAAAUCAAUAUUUUGAAUGUAUUUAAUACAUGUUUCAGAUCAUUAUACAAGAAGAAAACAAAUUCAUCUUUUGCAUAACAUCUUCAUCUAAGACAUUUUGAGAUGUGCAUUAAAUGCAUUCAGAAUAUUUGGUUUGACUUCACUAUUAUAUACUAUACAACUCUAAACCAUUACAAGCUAGCCUUUCUUUACUUUGUUUAGAAGGAUACUUUAACAAAGAUUUGGAGUGGUUUGUUCUGCUGGAGCCAAGUUGAAAAGUUUUGAUAAAGUGCAUCCUUUCCAAGUGUAACACAAUAUAUAUAUAUUUAUAUAUAUUAUUUAAUUGACCCGCUUUACGAGACCCUGGGUUCACAAGUUUUAUUUUAUAAUAAGUAUAAAAUGGUUAAACAGCCAUUUUGUGGAGUAAAAUGAUGGUAUAAAAUUUCAAUAUCUUAGUUUUCAUGUGUGCUCUGUUCAGAGCGAUUAUCAUAAGCUAAUUUUUCAUGCCACUUAUUUUAUAUUGUGUGAUGGGAAGGGAGAAAGAGAGAUGUCACAAGAGGACCAGUAGUGGACAAGAUGACUGUGACAUUAGCAAGCAACAGGGCACCUCUCUCCCUUUUUUAUGGUGUCUGAGGAAGAGGUAAAUGGUGUUGUUAUCAGUAGUGUGAAGUGAUCCAAGCUGGUGAGAGAUCAGUAGAGUCAACAUGUGAUAACAACUGAAUGGUCUGGCCAUGGUUCCCAAUUGCAACUUGAGGUAAGAGCAACUAUAUUUUCAUGCCUUUAAACUACUUGACAUUUUUUAAGCCUACCCAAUAUAUCUAAACGAAAGUGAACAAUGGACACUAAUGGAAACAAAAAGAAACAAAAAGCCAUCACUUUGGAAAGGAAGUAUGAAAUUGUAAAAAUGCAUGAUGAUGGUAUAACUGAAAAAUAUUUGCGACAAAUUUUCACUUAACUCAUCAACAGUCUGCACAAUUCUCAAAGAAAAACAAAAAUAUUUAUCUCAAGUGAGAUAAAAGAGAUGCUGGAAGCAUUAUUCUGGAAAUGGAAAAACUUUUAAAUGCAUGGAUAAGUGACAAAACACAAUGCAUGCAUAUGAAUGUUAAUCAAGCAUCAAUUUGUAGCAAAGCAUUAUCUCUUUUCAGUAUGCUUAAAGAAAUGAAAGGUGACACAGAUGAAACUUUUGUUGCAAGUAGAGGAUGGUUUGAUUGAUUUAAAAAUUGACGUGGGUGGCAUUCCAUCAAAGUGCAAGGAGAAGCAUCAAGCACAGAUGUUGAUGCAGCAGGAAAAUUUCCAGAAACAUUGGCAGAAGUAAUUGAAGAAGGGAACUACAUGCCACAAUUGAUUUUUAAUGUCAAUGAAAUAGGACUUUUCUGGAAACGUAUACCAUCUAGAAAUUACUUUGCUAAGGAAGAAUCUGUGCUGCCUGGUUUUAAAGUUGCAAAAGAUUGGCUGACAUUCUUAGUUAGAAGAAAUGCAUCUGGGGAUUUAAAAUUAAAACCAAUGCUAGUUGACCAAGUGGAAAAUCCUAGGGUACUUAAAGCUAUUUUAAAGACAUUUCAAAGCACUUAAAGACAAAAAGACAUCCAAACAUAUGGAAAUAUAAUAAAAAAGCUUGGGUUACAAGCAACAUUAUUUGAAGAAUGGCUUUCAUAUCACAUUGUGCCAGAAGUUAAGAAAUAUUGUGAUAAGAACGAACUUCCAUUUCAUGAAAUGUUGCUUAUUGACAAUGCACAUAGCCACCCUCCAAUUUUGCAUCAUCUCCAUCCUAAUGUCAAAGUUAUUUUUAAUGCCUCUGAAUACGACAUCACUUUUGCCACCAAUGGACUAGGGUGUUAUUGCAACUUUUAAAGCUCAUUAUUUAUGGUACACAUUUGCAAUGCUGAAUGAAGAAACAAAGAAGGGGGACCAACUGUAAUGGAAUUCUGGAAACAUCACUACAUUUAUACUGCAAUAAAAAUCAUAGGAAAAGAAUAUGAAGUGUGUUUGGAAAAAACUUUGCUCUCAAUUUCUUAAUGAUUUUGAGGGUUUUGUACAAGAAAAUGUACAAAAAGAAACAGAAGAAAUUGUAAACCUGGCAAAUGGAUUGAAUCUCAAUGUGUCGGCAAGUGACAUAGAUGAGCUGCUUCAAUCAGUGAUGAACUCACCAAUGAAGAGCUUACUACAAUGCAAGAGCAGGCAACAAUAAAAGAGGAAAAGGACACUUGAUAAAAUGCCAAUUAAUGCAUUAAUGUUGAAAGGACUUGCGGAAGCAUUUCAACAUUUAGAUAAAGCCUUGGAAAUUUUUCAAGUACGAAAUCCAAAUUUUGAAUGAAGUGCAAAAAUUUCUACUACCAUAGCAAAUGCUUCUUCUAAGCAUAUAACUCUAGAUUUGUUUUUUAAAAAGAAAUCUAUAUGUCAAUGAUUGCUAGUGAAUCAGUGAUCACAUCUACAAGUGAUGUUGUGCAUUAAGGCUGCAAGCUGGCAGAAUCGUUAGAAUGCCGGGCAAAAUGCUUAGUGGUAUUUCAUCUGCCGCUAUGUUCUGAGUUCAAAUUCCGCCGAGGUCGACUUUGCCUUUCAUCCUUUCAGGGUCGAUUAAAUAAGUACCAGUUACUCUCUGGGGGUCGAUAUAAUCGACUUAAUCUAUUUGUCUGUCCUUGUUUGUCCCCUCUGUGUGUGGCCCCUUGUGGGUAGUAAAGACAUAAGUGAUGUUGUGCAUUAGUCUAGUGUGAGUGAAAGUGAUUCAAAAAACAAUUAUGAUAAUAAUAUUUUUUAUUAUAAAUGAUCUUGACAUUCUUUUUACUUUACAUAAAAUAUCUUUUACAUUCUACUAUUGUUUUAUUGCCAUUUAUUUACAAGUAUUAUAAAUUUUAUCGGUGAAAUAUUUUUCUGAGAAUGAAUUACGAUUUAUAACAUUGCUCUGCUUCAUGAGUUUUCACUUUAUUAUGAGUGGUCUCUGGAAAUGAAUUAACUUGUAUUACUGUAUGUAUAUAUAUAUAUAUAUAUAUAUAUUUCGUUUUUGGAUUCGGUUUGCAAGAUUCUUUAUAUGAGUUCAUGUAUUCAAGCAUAUUCUGUUGUGUCUGGGGAGAGUCAUUUUCUUUUUGUGCCUUAUAAUGUAACACACUCACCGGUAAAAUUUCCACUUAUUUCUUAUUUUUAUUUUCCUAAAAUUUUCAUUGCAUCUUGCAACCUUUUCAAUAGUCUUGACUUUUGAAAAGGUUGCAAGACGCAACGAAAAUUUUAGGAAAAUGAAAAUAAGAAAUAAGUGGAAAUUUUACCGGUGAGUGUGUUACAUUAUAAGGCACAAAAAGAAAAUGACUCUCCCCAGACACAACAGUAUAUAUAUAUAUAUAUAUACUUUAUUUAAAGCAGCAGAAAAUUCAACAAAAUCUGUUACUCUGAGUUUCUCGUUGCCGUUCAUCAGACAGUUUUUGCUAGAAUGGAACCGAUAUAUCAAUUCAAUCUAGACUCUUACAAACGCUUGUUGAAUUUUCUGCUGCUUUAAAUAAAGCAUAUUACUCUACCACUGGUAUUUGAGUACUCUUUUUUCCACGUUGUUUCACAUUUAUGUGUUUACUCCGGUAUAUAUAUAUAUAUAUAUAUAUAUAUAUAUAUAUACAGUAAUGCCAACUGAACUCUUUUGUAUAGCAUUUUCAGUCAAAUUAACGACUUGGGAAUGAGCAUUGUCAAGAUGAAGAAAUAUACCAUGUCACCAAUUGGGUCAUUUCAGUUGGGUUGCCCUGUUGAGCUGGUGCCACCAGCAAACUGGUAAUGAUGGAGGUGCACUGGAUCUUGUCUAUUUCAUUCAGAAUGUGUGAUACCUAUGUACUGAAUUCUUUAACUUUACCCAUUGAGUUAGGUUGACAGGUAAUAGUAUCAUUAAAGCAUCUUAUCUACUGAGCCAAUUCCUUAGUGGAUGGGUGCAGAUCUUUGUAGCUGAGCUGGUUCAAUUGACCCUCACUGAAUUGAAGAGAUUAACAGUAACAUGGAGUCUAUGUGGUUGAAUUUCUCCUCCUUGGGGUCUGUAGUAGUGUGGUCUGUGCUAGAGUAGCAUAAAUUGCCUCCCAGCUAGCAGACCUACUUUGUGACCCUGGUGUGUGUAGGCAAGGGAAAAAGAGAUGCAAAGAGAAACAGAAAAAGACGGGAACUCUAAUAGGGGCAGUAUUGGCUAAAAGUUAAAGCAGAAAUUAUUAAUUUAGAGUUUAAUUAAAGAUUGGUCAAAAGAAUUAUAAAGUAUGUAAGUUAAAGUAUGUAAGUUAAAGUAUGUAUGGCUAAAUAAAAAGAUAAAAUGUAAAGGCAGAGAAAUAGUUAGUGAUACAUAGGCAUAUAUAUAUAUAUAUAUAUAUAUCCACACACACACAUAUGCACACAUACACAUCUUUUGUUAAUAUUAUUACCCUUAUUGUGUAAUAUCUCUAGUGCAUCGGCUGUGCAUAGAUUGCAUUCACCUCCUCCUCCCAUAUGUAUGGGAGUGCAGACGUCACCACAGUCAAAGAAAUCAAAUAUGGGGUCCUCUGCUAGUGAUGUGGACUUAGGCUUACUGUAGUUCUUAAAAGAACGGACAUGAUUAUAAAAUCUCUGUUUAAAAUUUUGAAGCAGUGGAAGGUAUUACUGACAGUAGUAACAGUGAAAUGAAGUUCUGAUAUGGUGCCCACAUAAAUACUAUAGGACCUUUGCAAAACUUACAUAGUUUAGUUUCCCUCCCCUCCAUCCCUUAGUUAUUUUCCCCUCCACACAUAGAUACUCUCCCCCAGCAUACUGACCCCCACCCCAACCCCAGUGUAUUGUAUACUAUGGAGCUUUCUUGAUGAGUGACCCUAUACCAUUCCACAGUCAUCUGCCCACAGCUCCAUAACAGGUUUAAUGUUCUACCUACUUACCCCUACAAACCAUCCCUCUAUUCACUUCUUACUCCACUACUAUUAUGUCCUCUAUUUUGGGAUGUAUGUUCAUCCGAUUGUCAGUUUAUGAUUGUUACAGCUCUUAUAUAUGAAAUACUAGCAUCCAGUUACAUCACUGACAUUAUACUACAAUUUUUGCUAACCCUAAUUAGCUUAUAUCUGCUAAUUUUUCACACUCAUGUUUUAAACAUUUAAACAGAUUUUUGGUUUCACCAACCUUCUAUGUUCAGCUCCUUCCAAUUUUCCAACUAUAAUUUUAUAAUAUUCAGGAUUUAUAAUUUUUUCUAUAAAUUAUAAUCUACCAUCACUUUUCAUAUUUCUCUUUGUCUAAACAAUGAUUGCCUUCCUACCAUUCAUUUCUGGUUUAUUUCACCUCUUGAUCUAUAUAUAUUUGUAAUUUAUAAUUUUUCAUAUUUCACUUGGUUCUUCGUAAUUUUCAAAGUAAUUUUUUAUUUUCAUUUUUAUUUUCAUUUUUAUAUACAGGGUGCAUAAGAUAUUUGAGGACAGAUUUAUGUUUAUAAAAAAACAUAUAUAAUAACAGAUAAUAACUUUAUUUAUCAAAAAAUGUUAUGAGGAUAAAAAGAAACUUUCUUUUCUAUAAUGUUAUUCAAUAAAGCCACCUUCAGCUUCAACAGCUGCUUCUAUGUGAGAUCUAAAUCAUCUACAUGCUUGAAUCAAGUGGUCCUAGUUCAUUUUGGACAUUACUCUGACUAUGGCAGCUUUCAAAGAAUCUUUAGUGUUAUUGGUGUGUUCAUUGACCUCUCUCUCAAAAAUGCUCCACAUAUAAUAGUCCAAUGGAUUAAGGUCUGAAGAAUUAGGAGGCCAAAUGUUAGGGGUUAUGUGAUCAUGAAAAUUUUCAGCCAUCCAUUCCUGUGUUACUUGAGUCAUGUGUGAUAGUGCAGUGUCUUACUGAAACACAUAUGACUUUCCAAUGCAUACACUGUCUAUCCAGGGCUUAACAACUAUUUCCAGGACCCCAAUGUAGGUGGUAGAGUUAACUCUAAGGCCUUAUGGAAAGAAGUAAGGAGGCAUUGCAUGUCCUUCAUUGCUGACAACCCCUAAAACUAUGAUAGCUGCAGGAAAUUUUGUAUGCAUAUCACUUGGAACUUCAGAAAGGCCUACAUAUAACCAUCUAUCAUUUCUUCUGUUAACUUUUUGAUCUUGGUUGAAGUUUUUCUCAUUUGAGAAAAACAAAAUCAAAUCUUCUGCUGAAUUUUUCAGUUUGUUUAAGAGCCUUUUAGAUCUGAAGUAGUAAUUUAUUUUUGCUUUUUCUGACAAAUUGACCUUUCCUCGUCAUAUUAGGCUUAUAUCUGAUGUCUUCGUGGACAACAUUUCUGACUGUUCCUUCUGACAUAAGGAGAUCUUUUGCAAUUGACUUCAUGGACUUUCUGGCAUUAUAAUCAAUGGUCUGUUGAACUUGCUGGAUAAAUUCAGGUGUUCUGAUGAUUUCAGAGCAUUUAGAAUGCUUUUUAUGCUUUGAUACUGGUGGUACAUUUCCAUCUUCAGUCUCUAGCUCCUUACAAACUUUGUAGAUGAAAAAUCUAGCAACUUUUAAAAAUUGAGUUAUUUCUAAAUCACUAUGCUCAGCCUUUAUAACCACAAUAACAACAUGUCUCCUCAUUUCUUGAGUAAGCUGAGGGUCUGCCUUUAUUAUUUUCUGAAACAAAGAUUAUAUAGAGCAAAAAAUGCAGCAAUGACCCAAGAAAGGUAUGUCCUCAAAUACCUUACACACCCUGUAUAUUUCCUUUAUUAGUUAAUUUUAAAACGGAAUGUUUUAUAUAUUAUCCUGACUUAACCUACAACUUAUAUACACCUCCACUCAUAAAGGUUUAGCAACUUACUGCAGAUAUAAUUUUUAUAUUUUUUAUUUUUUCAUAUUUCUCCUGGUUCUUUGUAAUUUUUAUUUUUACUUUAUAUAUUUUUACUAUAUAUUUAUAUAUAUCUUUUAUUCAAUGUUUUUUUAAUUUUCACUUGGAGUCCACUAUAUAUUAAACCCUUACCCUGGUUUACAUAAGAUGUAUAUACACUUCCACUGUAAAGGUUUAUAAAUAUGCUACAUAAAUAAUAUUUAUUUUAUUAUUUUUAUUUUUGAUGCUUAGUUACCCUAAUCUUAAUUUAAUUUUUUAAUUUUGUAAAUCUUUUUAAGCUGAAUUCAUUAUAUAUUCAUCCUAAUUAUAUUCACCCUCAUGGGACUUUAUUUAUAUAUAUAUAUAUGUAUAUAUAUGUAUGUGUAUAUGAUGUAUGUAUAUGUAAGAUAUAUAUUUUAAUAUAUAUCCUACAUAUACAUACAUCAUAUAGACACACACAAGAUAGUUUUUGUAUGUGGCAGAUGCUCAGGAGCAAUAAGCACUGAAAAUGUGCAGAGAACAACUUCUGUCACAUUCCAAGGAGAAAAACUAGAAGUAGUUGAUAGCUUCUGUUACCUAGGUGAUCAAGUCAGUAGCGGGGAAGGGUGCAUCGAAAGUGUAGCUGCUAGAAUGAGAAUAGCCUAGGCAAAGCUCAGAGAGCUUUUACCUCUGCUGGUGACAAAGGGCCUCUCGCUCAGAGUAAAAAGUAGACUGUAUGACGCGUGUAUUUGAACAGCCAUGCUACAUGGCAGUAAAACAUGGGCCGUGACUGCUGACGACAUGCGUAAGCUCGCAAGGAAUGAAGCCAGUAUGCUCCGUUGGAUGUGUAAUGUCAGUGUGCAUACUCAACAGAGUGUAAAUGCCUUGAGAGAAAAGUUGGAGAGAAGCAUCAGAUGUGGUGUGCAAGAGAGACAACUGCGCUGGUAUGGUCAUGUGGCGAGAAUGGAUGUAAAAAGUGCCACAGCCUAGCAGUUGAGGGAACCUGUGGAAGAGGAAGACCCAGGAAGACCUGGGAUGAAGUGGUGAAGCAAGACUUUCGAACAUUAGGCCUCACUGAGGCAAUGACUAGUGACCAAGACCUUUGGAAAUAUGCUGUGCUUGAAAAGACCCGGCAAGCCAAGUGAGACCAUAAUCUAAUGGCUUAUGCCAGGGGUGUAACCAGCCCACUUUUGCAUACCUUUCCUUCAUUGGACACUAAACUUUGCUUGUGAAGACCUGUUGAGGCAAGUGAAAUCGAAAUCAAAUUCAAUGACUGGGAUCUGUGCUAGUGGAGCGCUAAGAGCACCAUCCGAGUGUGAUCAUUGCCAGAGCAGCUAACUGGCUUCCAUGCUGGUGGCAUGUAAAAAGCACCAUUUGAGCGUGAUCGUUACCAGUAUCGCCUAACUGGCACGUGAAAAAACAUUCGAGCAAGGUUGUUAUCAGUGCCGCUGAACUGGCAGCUGUGCAGGUGGUACGUAGAAAAACACCAUUUGAGCAAGGCCGUUGCCAGUACCACUUGACUGGCCCUCGUGCCGGUGGCAUGUAAAAGCACCCACUACACUCUCGGAGUGGUUGGUGUUAGGAAGGGCAUCCAGCUGUAGAAACUCUGCCAGAUCAGAUUGGAGCCUGGUGCAGCCAUCUGGUUCACCAGUUCUCACUCAAAUCGUCCAACCCAUGCUAGCAUGGAAAGCAGAUGUUAAAUGAUGAUGAUAAUGAUGAAACACACUCACACACGCACAUAUGCACACACACACACACACACACACACAUAUGCAUUAAUCUGUUAAUUAAUAAUUAACAAGUUAAAAUUUUCAUUACUGAUUCAAAUUUCGAGUUAACUUUGAAAAUCAUUAUCGGAGUAAUUAACUUCUGUUACAUUUAGCUUCCAUUAACUCAAGUCAGUUAAUUCAAAAAUUUCAUAAAAACCAGUAAAUGUUUAAAAGUUUCUAUUAUUUUCAGAUUGUCUUAGCACAUUUGAUAUUGUACACGUUAUUCUUUCAACCCCAAUAUAACUUGUAGGACCUUGUUUGACCCUGCCUGGAUUUGAAACCAAAUCCACCUGCUUGUUGCUUGCAAAGAAGAAAUUUCUUUGUCUUGCCCAGAGGGAACAGUGAGUCGAUCUGUGACCUUGCUGAGGUGGAUGUUAACAGAGAAAAUAUUGACUUCCAUAAAAUGGAAAAAAUAAAUGGAAGGAAAAAGUUGGUAAAUAUUUCUGUGUGAAUGCAAAUAUUUUGGUGCGAAUGCAAAUAGCUGUUAUGUGGUAGCAGGGCAUGCUAGAAAUAGCAAAAUAUUUCCUUUUCUGGAAAAAAGAGCCAUUUACGUGUGAUUUCAAUGUCACAUUCAUUGAAAGCAGGCAAAAUAACCUGGAAAAGAAAACAGACCCAUGAAACAAAACUCCCUUGGUGGAAGAUACUAUGGCAGAUACCAUGUCUGACAUACCUAUUGAAAUCCCAGCCACAAAGAUGAGAUCAUUGUCACUCAUCUUUGAGGCAGCCUAAAUACAUGAUUAUGUUCAAGUUUCAUCAUUUUCAUCUGAGACUUGCAUAUUUUCUUGGGUUUUUUAUUUUUUUCCUGGAAUAAUAGAGUCUCUAAAUUCAUAUUCAAUGUUUUUCAAACUUGUAUAGUCUCAUUUUCAAGAGCUGAAUAUAUUUGGUGUCCCAGUUGUUUCUUAUAUAUUGGUUGAAUUUGAUAUGAAAAUUUGGUUGAAAAAUACUUGUGGAAACACUAUCUUUAUCUUUUAUUUGUUUCAGCCAAUUAGACUGUGGUCAUGCUGGGGCACUACUUUGAAAACUUUUUAGUCAAAUGAAUCAGCCCCAGUUAUUUUUAUUAAAGCCUGAUGCUUAUUCUGUCAGUCUCUUUUGCUGAACUGCUAAGUUAUGAGGACAUAAAAGCAUUAAGUCAAGCAGUGGAGUUAAGGACAAACACACACACAUAUUAUAUAUAUUAUUCAAAAUUAUCCAUCAUGGCUGAUCUUACCAAUUGGUUUCAUGCAAGGAAUACAAUGGAGUGCUAGGUAACAAACUGAUUAUAUAAUCUUAAACUCAUCAGAGUUAGCUGAUAUGGAAGGAAUAUGGCGACUGCUCUCUAUUGCAUGAAACCAUUUGGUAAGAUCAGCCAUGAUGGAUAAUUUCGAAUAAUAUAUAUAAUGUGUGUGUGUGUUUGUCCUUAACUCCACUGCUUGACUUAAUGCUUUUAUGUCCUCAUAACUUAGCAGUUCAGCAAAAGAGAGGUGGACUAACACAACUGGUGUGCAGUUACUGUGAAAAAGGUGGUGAAACGAGAAAGGGCCAGGGGAUUAGGUUAGGAAUUAUGUCCCUUGGUAGGUAAGCUGUGAGACUGAUGAGAAUUAUCUUGAUGUGUUUUUGGUGAAAGUGUGCAUCAUUAAGUGUGGUGCUUUUGUGGGAAUGUCCUAACCUAAUCCCCUUGUCUUUUCUCAUUUCACCACCUUUUUUACAGUAACCGCACACCAAUUGUGUUAAUCCACCUCUGACAAUGGAGAGUAGUCACCAUAUUCCCUUCCAUGUUGGAUAACUCUGAUGAGCGUAAGGUUAUACAACCAGAUUGUUACCUAACACUCCAUUGUAUUCCUUGUGCAAAACCAGGUGGUAAGAUCAGCUGUGAUGGAUAUAUAAUACUAUACAUUUUGGAUAAUAUAUUCACUCUGUUGACAGAUAUAUGAGUGCAACUUCUCCCUGACUUAUGGUCUCUUAGAUGACUCAUGUGUGUAUAUAUGCAUGUAUAUAUAUAUAUAUAUAUACAUAGUAGAAAUAUGUUACGAAAAGAAAAUAUAAAAUACAUGUGGAAAUGUAAGGGUAAAAUAUGAAAAAUCAACGAAAAUGCAUAUUGCAAAUAGAAAACGGCUAUUUAUGACAGGUAGCGACAAAUAUAUACAUUUAGAUUGACUGAGGUAGUAAUACGAGUCAUAAAGGUCAUUAUUAUGAGAUGAUUAUAAGAUGAUAAUAAAGUAAGAGAACAAAAUGAACCAAUGGUUUACGCGAAGCUAUUCAUCGUUUGAACAACGCCAGUUAAUAUACGGUGUCAGGUCUAAUAGUUCCCGAGAAAAAAGAUUAUUUGUAAGGGAGGUAAGUAGUUCUGGAUUUAGAGAUGUGAGUGGUGUAGGAGGUGUAUAGGGUUUAGUGGUUUCAAUUGAAGAGUUAGUGGUGUUCUGUAUUGAGUUGUGUGUUCAUAUUUAGUUGGGGGAGAAAUUUGUUGAUGAAAAAUGCCUCUUUAUUCAACCUUUGUUGCAUUGUGGUGUUCUGUGAGCAUUGGUAAAAGGGAAAUAUUUGGAAAUUGGGAUUAAGAUUCCUGGCAUAUCUUUCUAUGUGUUCACUCACCUUUAACUGUCUGUAUUGUGGGUGACGGAUUUGCUCUUUGUGAAUGGUGAUUCUUUGACAGAGCGAAAUUCCUGUUUGUCCAAUAUAGAGUUUACCACAUCCUAUGCAUGUCAUGACAUAGAUUACAUUUGCUGAGGCGCAGGUGAAAUUUGAACCCAGACUACAUUAGCCACAGACGAUAUAACAAUCCUCAGUACAACCAUAAUCCAGUACACUACCCAACCACCUCCACCACAAACAUACUACCAUAGACACAAUUUACACCCACCUUUCCCUCAGCAAACCAAACAAAAUACAGACCUUCCACUACAAUCCACAUACUACAACCAUUUUUUAGAUGCAAACCAGAGAAACAGAGAUGUGAAACGGAAGCAAAUAAACAAGUCCAACUGAAAAUAAUCAACCUGUCCAAGAAAAUCCUGAGUUCUAUACAAAUCAAAAUCCUAGUAAGAGGUCUAAAAUAGAAUUAAUUAAAUUAAUUAGAUUAAAUUAAAUUAAUUAUAUAAUUACUGUACUCUUCAAUGCAAGAAGUAUAAACAAAUAUAUUAUGUAAACGUAUUGAAAUUUAUACAUGAAAUAAUAAGUGCUUUCGAAGAAACUGACAUACAUGCACACACGUGUAUUUACAUAAAUGAUGUAGUGAUAUACAUGUUAUAGUAGUGGCAAUUUUAGUUCUAUAAAUAUCACACACAUUUGGUGUACGUCAUGUCUACAACUAUUUCCUUGAGGAAAACACCCUCAGCUCAAGUUUUUCUCAUGCUUACUCUUCUCUCUCCCUUCUAUUAUUUGCUUAUUCUUUAUCUCUCUCUCUCUCUUUCUCUCAUUCUUUCGUUUUUAUUUUCUUUUCCCAUCAUACAAUAGCAAACAUGAGUGUUCUUGCCCACUUGCGCAAUCUCUCUCUCUCUCACACACACACACUACCCCCUCCUCCCACACCACACGCCCUCAAAUCAACAAUUACCUGUUUUAUAAUUUGUGUAGUUAUUGUGUCAAAAAGUUUCUGGACUAGUUACGUUUAAUAAAAAAAACUUAUUUACCUAAGUUUUAACUUGAUCUCCUGUGAAAGAGUCACCUUGCACAGCAAUACACUUGUCCCAGGUUCCUUCACUUUUGGAAUCUGACCUGGAAAUCGUUUUUCAUAAGCCAGUUGAGGACUUUCUGUGAUUUGUUCUGGAUGUCGACAAUGGGGUUAAAACAGCAACCUUUGAGCUGCCUUUUCAUUUUGAAGAAGAGAUGGAAGCCUGCAAAUGCUAAAUCUGGCGAAUAGGGCAGGUGCGGAAACGAUCCCAUGUUAUUUUUGGUGAGAAAUUCAUGAGUGAGGAGAGCUUGGUGACAGGGUAUAUUGUGGGUGUGAAGAAUCCAAUUCUUCAUGCUCCACAGAUCUGGGCACUUUCAUCAAAUUUCCUCCCUCAAAUGCUUCAAAAUGUUUCAGUAGAUUGAUGGUCUGACCCUGGGAAGCAAAUUCUUGUUGCACAAUUCUGCAGAUGUUGAAAAAAGUGAUAUGCAUGCUCUUUAUUGAGCUGUGACUCUGUUGUGCCUUCUUUGGUUGUGGAGGUGAAGGGCUCUUCCAUUGUGAUGACUGUUGCUUUGUCUCACGGUUGUACCUGUAGACCCAACACACGUCACUGGCGAUGAUCCUUGACAUGAAGGAUGGGUCAUCAGUAGCAUGCUGAUGGAGAUCUUGACAGUCUUUGACGUCUUCUGCUCAGUGGUCAGCAGACGGGUGACAAAGUUGUCGGAGACUCACUGCAUGUUCAAUUCAGACGUUAGGAUUACCUGCACGGACCCAUUCGACAGACCAACAACAUUAACAAUGUCAUUUAUUGUCCUCCAACGAUCCUCAUACAUAAGCUGAUAAAUUUUCUCCACAUUUCUGAGGGUGACACUUGUGGCAUGUCUUCCAGAUCGCUCAUCAUCUUCCAGGGAUGUUCUUCUGCUUUUGAAGUGCUCAUGCCACUUGAAACAUUGCGUACAACCCAUUGCCUCAUCACUGUAAGCUUGCCAAAUGUCUAUGUAGUAGACUUCUCAAGUUUAAUGCAAAUUUAUGUUGGCUCUUUGUUCCAACUUGCUGUCCAUGACAAAAUCACAGACUGCAGCAUACAUGUGAUCAUAAAAAUACAAAUUUUACAACUUGCAAAGUAAACACAGCAAUGUCACUCAGAACGCUGCCUCAUGAAGGUCACUGCUAGCUCUCACUGUGCAUGCAACUGUUGCUGCCAUCUGUUGGUACACUACAGAAUUAGUCCAGGAACUUUUUGAUACUACCUUGUACACUAAACAUGCACUGUAUGCAGAACUCACUUGUGACAGAAGAGUAAAAAGAAUAUUUGAUAAUAUUAAUUUUUAUUAUUACUAACAAGGUGAAGGAGGCAAGUUGGCAGAAUCAUUAGCACACUGGUAAAAAUGCUCAGUGGCAUUUCAUCUGUCUUUAUGGUCUAUGUUCAAAUUCCUCCGAGGUUGACUUUGCUUUUCAUCCUUUUUGGGUCAAUAAAUUAAGUACUAGUGAAACACUGGGGUUGGUGUAAUCAACUAGUUCCCUCCCCCAAAAUUUGAGGCCUUUAAUAGAAAGGAUUAUUACUAAUAAGGUGGCUGCUAUUUACGUUUAUUAAUAACUAGCAGUAUCGCCCGGCGUUGCUCGGGUUUGUAAGGGAAAUAACUAUAUAAGCAUUUUUAGAGAGUUAUAGCCCAAAAAUAGCAAAAAAUGCAUUAAAAAUGGAAAAAAGAUGAUGGUAAAUUUUUUGAAAAAUCGUUGACUCAUCGUAGACAUUUUUAGAGAGUUACUUCCCUUAUAUAAUAGCGAAAAAAUGCAUUAAAAUGGAAAAAAAACGAUGGUAAAUUUUUUUUUAAAUCGUAGACUCAUGUAGACGCUUUCUUAGCCAUUUCUGUUUUGGUGUCUUCAAGCCAUGAAGUCGUUGUUCUAAAAGAACGCUGGUCUCCUUGACAACGCAUUACGACGUUGAUUUCCUUACACUCUCUUCCCCACAGGUGCAGGUGUGAGCGUGGACGCCAACUCCGCCGCCAUCGACACACGAAAAAUUAUGCAUUAAAAUGGAAUAAAAAAUGAUGUUAAAUUAUUUUUUAAAUCGUAGACUCAUCGUAGACGCGCGCUAAUACUCAGACGGGCUCGAUAUGAAUCACGACUAUAAGAUACCUGAAUUUGGUUAAACUGCACCGCAAAAUGUGGGAGUAGUUAGGAAUCUAAAUCGAAGGGGACAGACACUCACACAACUACAGUUUUAUAUAUAUAGAUAUACAUAGCGCAGUAGUGGUGAGAUGUGACAGCAAAGAAAAGCAUACAAUCACUCUCUGCAUGCAAUUAGACUUGGAAAGUUCGUGAGGAACCCAUUGACCCAAUUUGCUGACUUUUCCGAUAGCACACAGGUCUCAAUGAAUGGUUGAAUGACCAAAUCCAAGCUUCUCUGCUAGUUCCUCAACAGUUACGAUGAUAUUUUGUUCCACCAGGGUUUUCAGGAUGUCCUUGUCGAGUUCUACAGAUCUUUCAGGAUGAGGCUCGUCUUCUAGGCUGUUCCAAUAUAGCUUUGAAAAAAAUAGCUGUUAAAAUCGAAAUGCACUCUUCAAAACUUGCACUAUGAAUAAGGACAAGAUAAAAUUACUACCUGCUUUUAUAGCAAGUUAAUAUAAGUAGUUUAUCCCAUUCCCCUCUGACUUUUAGUUCAAGCUGUUGAAAAAACCGCAUUAUUAUAUAUAUAUACAUACAUACAUACAUACAUACAUAUACACACACACUCUCUCUCUCACACACAUGCACACAUUUAUAUUCUGUUAUUCUUUUAUAUGUUUCAGCCUUGAGGUUGUGGCCAUGCUGGAUCAUGUGUGUGUGUGUGUCUAUCUGUCUGUCUGUAUGUAUAUAUGUAUAUGUAUGUGUGUGAACAAUAAUAUUUUCAACAGAUGUGUUGCAAAUGUAUCUGAUUGUUCUCAAGCUUCAAUACUGUGUGUGUGUGUAUGUGUGUGUGUGUGUGUGUGUGUAUGUAUGUAUGUAUGUAUGUAUGUAUGUGUGUAUGUAUGUAUGUGUGUGUGUAUGUAUGUGUGUGUGUGUGUGUGUAUGUAUGUAUGUAUGUAUGUAUGUAUGUAUGAGUGUUCCUCAAAUCACUAUCUCUGACUAUUUACUCUCUUCCAAGAACAUUUUCACUCACACUUAUGUGUUAGCUUCCCAUACAUUUUACUCAUGUAUCUAUCAGCGUGAUAGAGAGAAACAAAUAUUACAUCUAGUUUCACUUUAUUUGUUGCCCACUGUGUGUGUGCGUUUGCGUGUGGUGUAAACCAGACUAAGAAAAGCAUUUGACACACACACCAGAAUGUGAGUUUUCUGUAAAUUUUGCUUAAUUGGAGUUUAAAUUUUAAAAACUGGACCUGGCAUGACGCGAUGCAUUGUACUCUUAAAACUGCUAGGUAAAUUGUAAUUGAAGAAAUCCUAUAUUGUAGAUUUGUAUAACUCCCAAAGGGAGGCAGAUAAAAUCUGCCUUUUAUAAUAAGAGAUCUCAUAUUAAUAUGACUGCAAGGCAGAAUCAUUUGAGCAUUGGAAGAACACGUUACUGUAUUUCUUUUAGCUCUUUUUGUUCUGAGUUUAAAUCCUGCCAAAGUCUUUCAUCUAUUUGGGACCAAUAAAAUACCAGUCAAAUGGUACUGACCUCUCAAAGUUGCUGACCUUGCACUUAAAUUAGAAACAGUUAUUGAUGAGGCAAUGUCAUCUUAAUAUGACUAUAUGAUGGCAAACAGGCAAGAUUGUUACAGCAAUGGAAAUAUAUGUUGCAACAUUCGGCAUGAUUCUUUACACUUAUAUCCAACCAAAGUCAACGUUAUCUUUUAUUCCUCAGAAAAGAUACCUUGCAGCAAUUUCCUGACACUUUACAUUGUGAGUUCAAAUCCUACUGAGGUUGGUUUUACUUUGCAUCCUUUCUGGAUUGAUAAAGUAAAGUAUUAAUUAUUAGGAUCCAUGGUAUUGAUUAAUCCCCUUCGUUCAAAAUUACUGUUUUUAAGUCUGAGUCAGAAACCGUUAUUAAUAGUGGCUGUUUACUUGAAAGUUAAAUUCAUGCUGACUUCUCAAAACAUUGAAAACCUAUUGGUAACACUUCAAAGUAAACUGUUACUAUUAAUAAUGGUUUUAUAUUUUGCUUCAAAGCCAGCAUUUUCAGAGGAGGGGGUAAGCUGAUUACUUUGACUCCAGUGUUCCACUGGUACUUAUUCUAUCAACCCCAAAAUGAUGGAAGGCAAAUUUGACCAUGGUGGAAUUUGAACUCAGAACGUAAAACCAGAAGAAAUGCUGUUAAGCAUUUUUCCUAGUGUGCUAAUGAUUUUGCCAGCUUGCCACCUUAAAGUUAUUAUUGAUAAUCCUUUCUGCUAUAGGUACAAGACCAGAAAUUUUGGGGGAGGGGUUAAGUUGAUUACUUUGACUCCAGUACUCCACUGGUACUUAAUUUAUUGACCCUGAAAGGAUGAAACACAAAGUUGACUUUGACAGAAUUUGAUCUCAGAACGGCAAGCCAGAAGAAAUGUUAUUAAGCAUUUUGCCCAGUGUGAUAACGAUUCUGCCGUCUCACCACCUUAAAGUCACUAUUAAUAAUAAGAAUGUAUUAUAUAUAAUAAUGACAGGAUCUAAUUGACAGUCUCACACACUCACAUACAUAAAUAUACUUUCACACUCACACAUAUGGGAUGGAGUGGUGAGUUGAUCUCAAGAUGCUGGACUUCUCAAAGAUGACAGCUGUGAUGAUUGAUGACAUGCCAUGCUGGGGAAGACCUAUCCAGUGCAAGCAAGGCACAAUAGCCAUUCAAACAGUGGUAGUGAUACAGGUUAGGGUAUACAAUGUAUACCGUAAAUCCUCGAGUAUAGUCCGCCCUUGAGUAUAAUACGCAGGGGAUUUUUAGGGAGCUUUACCUCUGAAAAACCUAAACCUUGUGUAUAAUACGCACCCCUUCUCUAACUUGACUCAAGGAGGUCUAUAUAACAUCAUUGGUUUUAAAAAAAUGUAUAUGGUAACAUCCUUUAUUAUUGCCUUCUUUAUCUUUGGCAUCUGUUUAAUUUCAUCUUUAUUUCUUCUUCCAUAACCUGACAUUGCUUUUGUCAACAUCAAAUUUUCUUCUGGCAGCCCUAUUACCAUGCUCUUCAGCAUAUGAUAUAACUUCAAGUUUAAAAAUAGCUGAAUAAGAUCUAUGAGGCAUUUUAUGGGCAUGUAAUGUAAAAAAUGUUUUAUUGGAGAUUAAUGUACAGGUUUAAGUUGCACUUAUAAAAAAACCCUAGUAAAGACCCACAGUAGUUCAAACAUUUAAUACUGGCAUUUAAUUAAGUAUCUAUUGUUUGCCACGGUAAGGAUGCAAACUGCCAAUACAAACCUUGUAUAUAGUAAUUUUUAACCUCGUAUAUAGUAUGCACUAGGGAUUUUGACCUUUAAAUUUUAGGAAAAAAAUGCGGAUUAUACUCGAGGAUUUACGGUAUAUACUUAGUCUCUUGCUCAUUAUAUUUCAUGUAAGUCUCCAUUUACUGCCCUCUUCAGUCAUCUCUCAUCUAUAACUUGUCUUCUAUUCAUUGUACCAUACCAUCUGUACAGUGAGGGAUGGCACUUAAUCUAUAUUCAAUUUCCUUCACUAUCACUCUUUAUCACUCUCCUUAUCUUCCACCAUUACUCCUUUAUCUAUCUCAUUUCCAUUGCAAUGCCUGUGUAAUGAGGGAUAAUUUCAAAUCUGUCUGCAUUCAAUUCCCUCUACUGUCUCUCUUUUCAUUGAUAUUUAUCAUUGUUUAUCUCUAUUACAAUCCGUUAUUUGUCCUCUCUGAACAUGAUCCAUCUUUAUUGCUAUCUCAUCAUGCUGCUCAUGCUCUUUCUCUAUUCAAUCUCCUUACCAACAACCAGGAUGCAGCUAUCACUAUCUCUCUUCCAUUACUCCCUCUCCGUACUAUUGUCCUUCUAUCACUCUAUUUCCUAUCAUUAUAUUCAUAUUCUCUUUUCUUUUAUCCACUUGAUCAUCAGUCCCUUUAUUCUACUUACCCUCUUAGUCGUGUUUAUUUUGAAUGAUUAGAGACACUGCAGAGAAAACAUUUUAGUUUUGCAAGAGACAGGGUAAAUUGUGCUGGUAUCAUGAUAUAAUGUGGUUGACAUUACAGAUAGUAUCUAACCAUGAAAGCCAUGCUACAUUGGAAUGUAUGAGUGAGAUGAGAUCCUCUGACCCAUCUUAAAGUGCAGUGGCCCCAAAUAUGAGCAAACUUGGACCAUCACAACCUGUUUAACCUAUACCAGCAUGAAAAGAGGAUGUAAAAUGAUGAUGAAGAAGUAGUAGUAGUAGUAGUAGUAGUAGUAAAAACGAUUCACGGUUAGUAGUUUGUAACUUUAUUCCUUUCUAGUGAGAUCCAUGGAAAUUCCACAGAAUGGAAAAGACUAAGGGAAGCUAUUUAAGAAAGAAAGGGUGAUUUGCAUUUUUAUUUUUAAUUUGUUAAAUUAUUUCACUUCCAAUCAUAACGAUAUAUUAUAUGAUUUUGAAAUUUCCCUCUGCUAAACUCUUUAUAUUUCUCUUUCUCUCUACCCCUUCAACAAACUUUUUAACCAUGUAAUUCCUCUCUUCAUGUCAUUAACAUUUCUCUUUCUCUUUGCAUAAUGCAUCCGCUGGCUAUCUGUUCUCUCACUCACUCUCACAUUCCCUCUUCUUCUUACCCCACUCCCUCCUCCUCUGCCUCCGUCUCCUCCACAUCCCCCUCCAUCUCCUCCUCCCCUUCCUCCCCCCUCUCUAACAGACUAAAGUGUAAAGUGUGAACAAAUAGAAGAAUACCCAUUUUGCCUUUAUCAUUCUAUCUCAUUUCCAUUGCAAUGCCUGUGUAAUGAGGGAUAAUAUCAGAUCUGUCUGCAUUCAGUACCCUCUUAUAUAGAAUUAGUUCCAUAAAAAAAUUCUUUUUACUCUCAAUACAAAACCACCAGCACCACCACCAGUACCAGCACCACCACCACCAGCAUCAUCAUUAUAUUCUUUAGUAACAAAGCUCAUUUCAUUUCAGUUCAGUUCAGCCAUUUGUUUGUAUCUACUUUUUCUUGUUGUUGAUGUAUCCCUACUCUGACAAUACAAAGGCUAUCUGCCUGCCCCCACCCUCUCUCUCUCAAUGUAACUGCCACCUCUGUCGAUCUCUCUCUGUCUUUAACCUCACCACCCUCUGCUAAAUAUUGUAUCCUAACAUAUCUCUUUCUCUUUACCUCCCCACCCUACAUCACAUCAUUAACACUUCUCUCUCCCUCUUUUCUCUUACUGUCUUUUUUUCUCACUCUUGGCCUCUCCCUUCAACUAACCAUGUGAUGCAUUUAGCCUUAGUUAUUAUUAUACUCCUCUCUUCUUUUUUCUCUAUUCACAUUCCUCACCACUUUUACUCCACCUCUCACUCACUCCACUUCCACUUCUCUAACUAAAAUAUGACAAUCGAAUGAAUAAGCAGAUUAUUAUAUAGAUUUGUUUUAAUCCUCUACUUUCAGUUUUGAAUUCUUUGAAAUGUUGUUUGUAUAUUUGUACAAUAAAUAUAUUUUGAUUAUUAUUACUACUUUUAUUAAAACUAUUACAUGCUGUAUAUUAUUUAGCAAGGAUGUUUUCCUGAGGCUGCAUAACAAGUCUCUUCAAAUCUUAAGAAUCUUUCUUAGGAUUCUUGCAGAAUACAGGAUUCCACUUUUCUGCAAGUCAGCCAUUUGAGUCUUAAUUCGAAUAUUCUUCAUUCUCUUAGGUAGCAGUUUGGAUGUUAUUAUUAUUAUUAUUCAGGUCACUGCCUGGAAUUGAACUUGGAAUCUUGGGGUUAGUAGCCUGCUUCUUGGGACGCAACCAAUAUCACUUCUAUAUUUUACCUGCACCACUAAAAACAUUUACUGGAUUCUAUCUCUGAAUAUUUAUGUAACAUUUACCUAAAGAACACCAUAUCGCCAGUUGGAUGCUUUUUCAACUCUCUUGUACAUGCUAUUUCUCAUCUAUCAGUCUUUGGUUUUAUUUCACACCACAAAUCCCUUACUUCUCGCUACCAAAAAGAACAAUGCCUAAUCUUCCACCUUGGCUGCUCUCCACCUUUGUGUAUGAAAAGUGUGGCUAGGAUAACAUAACUACACUCCACCGCCCCAUGUUCCGUCCUCUCACAUUCAUUCCAUCAUGGUAUACCACACUUUUACACACCCAUCUCACAGACUGCACCCACACUUUCCUAUCCAUCUAUACAUUUAUAAACAUUGAACAUGCCACAAAUUACAUGGUCAUAUGGACACAACUUCCCACUUCAUGUGCAUGCACCCACAAACAUACUGACAUACAUAUCAUCUCACCUUGAACCUACAAACAUAUCUCUAACCUACCAUCCCCUCACACAUUCUUCUAUAUCGUAAGACACCACACAAAUAUAUUGCACAUUGGUAUCUCUUUUUUAUCACACAUGUCCCGUGUAUCUAUGCACAUGCACAACUACUGGUAUUGUGUGGUCCCCACUACUUCUCUCAAUUUCCCUCCCUCACUACUUCUCACCCUCCACUUUUCUUUUUCUCUUCCUUCUCCCAUUCACCCUCCCUCUUUUUACUUUCUCUCCUCUUUCACUCUUCUUAUUCUCUCUCUCUCUCUCUCUCCCUUGCUCCAUCACUCUUUCUCAAUUUAAAGCUACUGUAACCCAGAUUGUGCUUCCACUUCUGGUUCUCCUUUUCCAUUUUCCAGCUUUCAUACCAUCUUCUGGACAGACAUCAUAUUUGGUAUCAUAAAUUUUUUUGAUUCUCUUACCUCUCAGUUCUUUUUUAUAUGCUUCUUUUUGUAUUCUGCUUGAUGACAGGUAUCACCUGAAACAUCAGAAUUUCUUCUAUUUACUCCUUUGACAUGUUAAGGUUUACUGUACACAUCUUUGUUCUUUUCUCACUUUCUGUUUCUACAUUAUUCAGCUAUGUGCUUUGGUUGUCUGAUUCUAUGCAUUUUUGUUUGUUUCCUCCUUGCCUCAAAUUGUACUCAUGUUAUCAUCAUCAUCAUCAGUUAACAUGCUGGCAUGUGUUGGAUGGUUUGACAGAAGCUGACCAGUGGGAGAGUGGUCCAGGCUCCAUUUGUCUGUUAUGGCAUGGUUUCUAUGCCUAGAUGCCUUUCCUUACACCAAUUACUUUACAGAGUGUGCUGGACACUGGCAUGAGUGCUUUUUAUGUAGGUAGAUUCCUGUCCAUUUUCCUGCUUACUAGAACUUUGUCUUUGCUAAGUUAACUUUAAGGCCCUUUGAUUCCACAUCUAGAAUGCCUUUCCUAGUUCUGUUACAGAGUGAGAUCAUUAGUAUGUUGUAGUUCCCAAGUUCAGCUGGUCUUAAAUUCUUCUGUUAUGGCCUGGAAGACAGUGAUGAAUAGAAGGGGACAGAGAACUGAACUCUAGUGAACUCUUAUCUGUACUCUAAAUUAAGUGCUGUACACAUGCUGACUCUUGCCUUACUGAUGGUAUCCCUAUACAUGCUUGUAUGGCUUUCACAGCCAUUCAUCUACCACUAUCUUCCUCAGAAACCACCAGAUCACAAAGGAAAGGACCCUGUUGAAGGCUUUCUCUCAGUCAAUGGAUGCCAAGUACAAAGGUGAAGUAUUUAGCUAAAACUUCUCUUGCAUUGUUUUAUUUAGAAGAUGGCAUUAGUACUACUUCUUCCUGGCACAAAACCAAACUGCAUCUCAUCUAGUCUAACUCUUUUCUUAAUUAUUUGAGCUGUAACUUGCUUCAUAAUUUUCAUGAUCUGGUCCAACCAUUUGAUAAUAAUUACUUCUAUUGAAGGCAUCUUCUUUACACUUGUUACAGCUGACUAUAAUGCUGUACAACCUGAUUGACUAUAUAGGUGAUUUGGCCAUAUUCUACCCCGCUAAUUAUUUUAAGUAUCUCUGUGGUAAUUUCUGAGGUACUAGGGGCUUCCCUAUCUACAUAUCCUUAAUUGCCUUGGAAAGACUCUCUUUCUCCCAGACAUUUCCAUGUUCAAUAGCCUCUCGUAGUAGCACUUCCAUGCCUCUAUCUUUUCAGAAUCACUAAGUGCAAGUACAUCAUUAUCCAUUUGUACUUUUUACCCACAACAACUUCAUUUUCUCUGAUAUACUGUCUUGCAAUCUGGAACACCUCACACUUGUAAUCUUCAUGUUGUAGAACAUAAAUAAAUCCCCUCCUUUCUAAUUCCCUCUUUGCUAUGUAAACCUGUCGCCUAGCUUCACUUCUUGCUAUCUGCUAUAUUUCUCUAUUACUCUCAUUUCUUCCACUUGCAGGCCUGUCGUUUCACUUUUAUAGCUUAAUUUACUUCACUGUUCCACUAUUACAUCACCCUUGGUCUGAUCACCCUUGUUCCAGUUACAGAUUUGGUCUGGAACUCUCAGAACAACUGGAAGAUCUGUGCAAACUUCCAGUUGUCCUCUGUGUUCUGUGUCUCUAACUCCUUCUUUUUGCCAAAUACUUAAAUUAGUAUGUCUCUAAAUUUCUUACUGUUUGCUGGGCCUUUGAGCUUCCAUAUCUUUCUUUUCCAGACCGGUGUGUUUCUGUGAAUCCUUCUAGUUCUAAGUCUGGAGUUAUUAACCACUAAUCUAUGAAAUGUAGAACAUUCUUUGCAUCUACAAGCAUCUGUCUUGCCCUGUUUUCUAGUGAGAACGUAGUCAGUUUGGUUUGUGUGCCCACCAGAUUAGGUAUUCAGGCUGCUGUUGUUUCCUGAAGUUACUGUUAAAGAGUAUCAAACCAUUUGCAUAUACAUAUAUACAUACAUGCAUGCACACACACACACACAUACACACAUGUGCGUGCAAAUACAUAUACAUACUUAUACAUGUAUACAGAGCUUUUGACUGGUAGCACUUGCAUGUGCAAGUUGUUUGCAAGACAUCUAAUUAACUUCUGUUACAUUUAGCUUCCAUUAACUCAAGUCCGUUAAAUUCAUAAAAUUUCAUAAAAACCAGUAAACACUUAAAACUUUCUAUUGUUUUCAGAUUGUCUUAGCAUGUUUAAUAUUGUACACGUCAUUCUUUCAACUCCGCUAUAAGACCACUUAUUAUUAUAAAUAACUUCUGGGAUCUCAUUUGGCCUUGGCUGGAUUUGAAACCAAAUCCACCCGCUUGUUGCUUGCAAAGACAGUGGGAAAUUUCUUUGUCCUAUCAAGAGGGAACAGUGAUUGAUGCGUUUCCAGUUGAUCCAUGACCUCAGUGAGGUGGAUGUCAACAGAGAAAAUAUUGACUCCCAUAAAGGGGAAAAAAUAAAUGGAAGGAAAAAGUUGGUAAAUAUUUCGGUGUGAAUGCAAAUAUUUUGGUGUGAAUGCAAAUAGCUGUUACGAGGUAGUGAGACAUGCUAGAAAUAGCAACAAAAUAUUUCCUUUUCUGGGAAAAGGAGCCAUUUGCAUGUGAUUUUGAUGUCACAUUCGUUGAAAGCAUGCAAAAUAACCUGGAAAAGACAAAAAGACCCACAAAACAAAAUUCCCUUGGUGGGAAACUUUGAGGUUCCCACCACCCCACCCACCUUUCUUUUCCUGAAAAAAGUAACUUGCGGCAGGUUAGAUACAUUGCGGAAGGUUAGAUACUUUGGAGGUUAGCUACAGUAAAUGCACCCAAAAAAAAAACUGAGCAAAAAAAUUAUUCCACACCUAGAUACAAAAUAUUUACUGAAAGAAUAAAAUCUUGUACCAAUAAUACCUGUAUUUCAAUUAAUUCAAAUUAAAGUACAUCAUCUUCAAAAGUGGCAAAAUUUUUGUUGGUUGCCAUCUGGGAUAAUUUUAGUAACAAAUCAAAUAGGUAAGAUGCAUUAAAAAUUUCAAUUUUAGUGUUUAUCCAUAAUGUUAUUGAUUUUACACAUGUUAAUUAAAUUUACCUGCCCAUGAAAAUUUACUCAGUAAGAUGAGCUAAAAUUACAUAACUAUAAACCAGUGGUAUAUAAAGCACCCACUGACAAAAUUUCAAAUCUGUAUGUAAAAAAUUUACAAGCAAGUAUCUUGAACCUGAAUAAUUCAAAAUAACGUGAACAAAUGAGUAAAACAUUUGAUAGAUUAAUAUGAACACUAAAGAUGUUUCUAGAUGUUUUUUUUUUUCAUUACACACACACAUAACAUGGCCUCACUCAGUUGGAACUACACAUGUGUUACUUUGACAUCAUCAUUCCAUAAAAAUUUUUUUAUGGGGAGAAAAAUAUUGAGAAAUAUCAAUAGAUAUGUGAGUGAGAAAGAAACGAGGAGGAAUGUUUUGGGAUGUGCUAGAAACAACUGCCAGAUUUCCUUUAAAUCACACAUUUUCCUCUGAAAUUAUUAACAAUUUUUUUUUUUAAACUGAAAAUGUUUCUCUCACAGGUUUUAAGUGCGUAGUGAAAAAACAAAAUGGCCAAAAUCGUUUCAGACUGGGGUGGUGAGGGGGUUAUGAGAGCGAAAAAAAUUUUCAAAGUUUUUUUUUCCAUGAAAAGAUGCCUCCCAUAAUUUUGAAGACUUUGGUGAAAAACAUUGGAAAAAAUCUCUAUCAAAAUGGAGAAAUUCCAUCUUAUGUGGGCCAUCUGAUCCAAAACUCUGUUUUCCAGAAACUCUUCCCCCUACCCCCUUCCAAACAUUUUGCCUACAAAUUUCUUUGUAAUUGUAAUCUACACUGUUUGAAAGGUAUCUAUAUAAAAUUUCAUUAAAAGAUACCUGUUUUCCAGGAUGUUAUAAAGGGGAAAAUGUCGGGUCCUGUGAAUUUUCUAAAACUCCUCUCCCCAACCCCUCAGAAAAUGUUUUCCCAACAAAUCUUUAGAUACACUCAAUCUACAGGAUAUAAGCAAUUAUUUGGUGAAAGUUUUGUUAAAAAGUAUCCAUUUUUUUCUGGAAGUUAUGAGGCAACAAAGUUGGUCGGGUAUUAAACUGUAGUUAUACCUUUAAAAGUUAACAUUAACGGAUUGACGUUGACUUCUGUUGCAUUUUCAAAGAAUUAACAAUUAACAAAGUCAACUUUUCGAUUAGUGGUACCCAUCUCUGCAUAUACACAUAUAUACACGUACACUUACACAAACAUAUGUGUAUAUAUAGAUACAUAUAUACAUAUAUUUUGACACAUACACAGGUACACUAAGACAUACACACAUAUGCACUUUGAUAUAGCCAUGCACUGAAUGCCAGACUGAAAAUCAAUCAGAGUGAUACUGGGCAAACAGCAAGUCAUGUUGCAAAAAAGCUGGUAGGCUGUAUAUAAAUUAGCUAUUAGCGACAGAAACAACCUUUGUAAUGAAUAUUAAUCAGCACAUUUUGGUCUGGCAUUUGGUGCUUGGCUAGUUUCUGAUGAUGAUCCGCAAUACAGUGAAAUCAUGUGAUUCAGUAGUGCCAUUCACCAGUGCUGAUGAAAUUCUGUCAAUUGAUAGAAUUUUGAUGCUUCUUAGCAUUUGUCAUCUACACAAUGAUUUUUCAGGACAUUCACUGCAGUUACAAUGUUAUACACAACACAUCCAAGUUAUGUUAGAUGUGUUAAUUAAUAUUUGUUACAAAACCUGCUUCUUUCACAAAUAGCUAAUUUUAUACACAGCAUGCAAGCUCUUUGUGAUACUACUGGCUGUUUGGCCAGUAUUAUUCUGUAUCAGCUUGACUGAUUUUUUGUCACUGAUAAUAUACUAUACUACACUGUAGUACACUAUAAUACACUAUAUCAUGAAAUCACAUAAUACAGGUCUGCCAUCCACUGGUUGUGACAAAAUUUUGUCAACUAAUAGAAUUUCAAUGCUUCUUAGCAUUUGUUGUCGAUACAAAACGAUUUUGGGGGAAUGUUCACCCCAGUCUACUAGGGCAGUAUUAACAACACAUCCAAGUUAUGUUGGAUGUGCUAGUUAAUAUUAUAUAUAUAUAUGUGUGUGUGUGUGUGUAUUUAUAUAUAUAUACAUGUAUGUAUAUAUACACAUGUACAUAUAUGCAUGAAUAUGUAUAUAUUUUUACAUAUAAACAUAAAUAUCUAUAUCUAUCUGUCUGUCAAAUAUGAGUUUCUUAUAACAAACAUAACUGUAAGUCAAUGAAUAUGAUUAUGUAACUCCUGUUCUUUUAUCAUUCAUUUAGUAAUAUAUACAGGGGUUGGACAAAAUAAUGGAAACACCUAGCAUCAUAACUUUGAAAUAUCUAUAAAACCAUCAAAAGCUUGUUUAUUUUUAUGUUUUUUGAUUUAUUAUUAGUGUUGUGUAGUGUGAUGGAGGAAAAGAACAACAGAAAAAGAAGCAAUGGGGGAAAGAAAUACAAAAGGCCUUACCUCGGCGAAAUCAGCGGUCACUCUCACAAAUUCAACACAUCUUUUCGCUCUGCGCUCUUUGCUGGAACUGACCACAUGUGCUUGCUGACCACACAUGCUUCCUGCCCACGCAUGCCCCUUUCACUCUUCCACUGGCCCCUGCAAGCCUUACUUCCACCCACCUCAUCUGUCAUCCUCUCCACCAACACCACAUAGCUCAUCACAGCCUGUAACACCACUAACACCACACGCCCCCUGAUCUACAGAUCAUUCAGCCGGCUUUCCCACUCACUCCUCGCUCCCGAACUCACACCUUAACUGGUUUCAUAAUCAGCCAACCAGGGAAGAGGGUGCUGCUCCCUCUGUGGUCACAGUACGACUCUAGGACUGGCCUGAGUUCCUGGCAUGUUGCUGCUGGCUUCAUCAUCUUGUUUACUGAUGUUGUCUUCAUCUUCUUGCCAACUGUUGUUGUCUUCGUCUUCUUGCCCACUGCUGCUGGUUCCAUCCUCUGAGGCUUGGACAAUAUUCAGUACAUCCAAAACGUGGCAUGGCAUACCAUCGACAGAGACAUUGUUCUUUGAAUUGGUGGAGUUUAUUGUUCCCUUUCCCCAUUGUGAUGUACACCGUGCAUUUGGGGGUUUUACCCAAACUUCUUCCCCGUCCUGCACGAAGGCAUGCUCUUCCUCUGCCCCGGGUCGUAUUGAUACAGUACAUGGAUGCCUCCACUCGUACCUGAAUAUUGCCCUGUGUGGCACCAACUCCUCAGCCUGUCCUGACCUUGGCAACAUAUUGUACCAAAAUACAGCCUUGAUUGGUGAAAUGUGGCCACUCUCUACCAUGGUCUUGAUGGUACGAUGAUGCCUUUCCACCACCCCAUUUCCACUUGGCCGGUAUGCCGCCCUGAAGAAGUGGUUGACCUUCCACCCAUCAAGCAUUUCUUUCAGCACCUCCGAGUGAAAUGCAGUGCCAUUAUCCAGAAGCAGUUCAUCCACGGGGCUUCGUUCCAGGAAUAUCUCAUUCAAUACUUUCACAAUUUCCUCUGCGGUCCCCAUCUUCAUCUCCCUCAAUAUGGCCAACCGCCCCGGUCCACAGUCAACCAUUGAGAGGUAUGUCCCCUGCCGGUAGUGUGUUAUGUCCACUGCUAGUCGUUUCCAGUCGUGGUCCACUGGAAUACUUCCUGCCUCAAUGGACUGGCACCUGUCACAGCUGCUAACCACUCUCUGUACACUCCGUCUUGUUACAUCGGAGUCAACUUUCCUGGCUAGAAACAACGUCCUGUCCACCCCCCUGUGAUGCAUGGUAUGCAAUCUCCUCAACUCCGAGUCACUCAGAUGGCAUACUGCAGCCACAGCCUGCUCCGCAUCCUCUGGCAUUUGCAACCAGGCUCGCUUUACCCUGGUCAGGAUGUCUGCCCUGUUCUUCUUGGAAGGCACAAAGAUCACACUCAGCUUCAGAUUGAACUCAGUGGUUAGUUCACGCAGUAUCCCCAAUUGACACUUUACCAGCAUCUCUGCAGCCCCUUUGGUUCACACCAUCUACUCAUUGGUGAUGACUGCUAUCACUCAACCAAGUACAGUGGCCGAAUCAGUCCUGAUUUCUAUGGUGUGCAGCCCCCACUUCAAGGCUAGGUUCACUCCCUUCAACACGGCAUCCAACUCCGCCACAUUGAUAUGAUUGCAGUCAUCCGUCUUCCUGAGCCAGGCUGCAUCUUCCACCAUGACACCUCCCACUUCUAAGACAAUCCCUAUUGCGAUGCUGCUGGCGUCACACCAUACAAUCCUGCUCUUUGAUUUGGGAACAUACCAACUGCCCUCACUGAAUCCUCUGCUCUUACUCUGACCAAGACUUCCUGUAUCAUGUCGGUCGUGUUCUCCCCCACUCUUUCAUAUCACUUCACUCCUUUGGUUCAUCUCUUGAUGAAGCUACAUGCUGUCCGGAGCCAUCCUGCAAUUGGGUAGUGUCCCACCAGCUUCCCCCACACCGAGAACAGUUCCUAUCUACUCAUGCUGGUGCCCAGUUUGAGGAUCUCGUUCCCUCACCAGAACACCAGUGCGCUGGCCUUGUCUCUCCAUAGCUUGAGGCCCAGUGCAGCACCUCCCUCCAUUGCCUCUGGUGGCUUGGCGAUCAGUCCAAAACGCUUCAGGUGGCCUAUGACCUCCGUUGCUGGCAUUAUGGUUUCAUCCACCAGAAUAUCAUCAAUAUAUGAAUUGGUUCCCUUUUUUACUCUGUCCACCUUUCCCAGGAUGGCCUUGAGAAUUGUUGCCAUAAUCUUUGGUGCUGAAUUCAGCCUGAACCCCAACCUGGUCAGAGAGUACGUCCGGCCCUUAUACCUAACAAGCUGAUACUUCCACAGUUUCUGAGCCACAUGUACCUGUAGGUAUGCUGACUUCAAAUCGACGAUCGUGGAGGCCCCUGUCAUCUGUCUCCACUCUCGCAAGGUGUCUCUGCAGACAUCUGUGGCCUCACCGCCUGUAUGACAUGAUACGUGGUCAUUUAGCUCUCGGAAGUCAAGCACUGGCCUGACCUUAUGCUUUGUGGGCUGUAUCACCGCCAUCAGUGGCAGGACUCUGCUCUCUUCUUUUUCCCAAGGGAUCAAUAUGCCCUCCUUAAUCCACCGCUCCACCUCUCCCUCGAACUCACUUCUGGCAUCUCCUUUUAGAGUACGCUGAUAGCAGCCCACUUUAUUUUUUAACAUCGGGGGUUCUCCCUUCCAGUGCCACUUCACUGUCCACCUCUGGCCAUUGAAGACGCCCGAAUGUCCUGGUCUUCAAUGGUGUGUGCAGCAUGCUUUUCUUCACAGUUCUCACCAGUGCAUGGUCUCGCCAUACACGGUUUCCCCGCAAACCCGAACGUUACACCGGCUUCGUUAAAGGUGACACCUCCCAAACAGGUGAUUGCAUCCAUCCCCAUCACCACGUCAAUCUCAUCUACCAAGUGGCCAACUACAAUUGCUCGCAGCAUCAGCCUUAUUCCCUGCACCACAAUCUGCGCAUCUGUAACACCUUCACAGUAUACUUCUCUUCCGUCGACUGCUCUUACACUGCUUUCUCCACUCCAAGCUGUAAUUACUGCCAAAUGCAGUCCUACCCCAUAUUAAAAUAAAUUUGUUUGAAAUUUUAAGAUGGUUCCAUUAUUUUGUCCAACCGCUGUAGGUAUGUAUUCAUUUAUUUACUGGUGUAUAUAUAUAUAUAUAUAUAUAUAUAUAUAUAUAUAUAUAUAUAUAUGUAUAUGUAUAAAGUAAAAAGUAAUAGAGUCAAAAGGAAGAGUAAGUAUGGUUAGGCAGCUUUUAAAUCACUACAAAUGUUUUGAUACAUUCAGAUCCUCAUAUAUACAGGAUUUAAAGUUAAGUUUAAAUUAAAUUAUGUAACGAUUUACCUGUAUAAGAAGAUCUAUAUGUCUGGAUCACUUUGUAUCUAUAAUUAAAUCAUUUCAUGAUGGGAUGGAGGCCUCAUUCCUGUGGAGAAUGGUGUCAAGCAGAGUGACAUCCUUGCUCCAACUCUCUUUUCUUUGUACUGUGCUGCUGUUUUUACUCAUGCCUUUGCUAAGGUUAGCUCUAUGGGAAUAUAUGUCAGGUAUCAAUCUUCUGGCUGCCUUUCUAAUCUGCGCCAAUUUGCUGCCAAUUCAAAAGUUUUCCAGUCUCUUAUUCAUGACUUCCUUUAUGCAGAUGACUGUGACUUAGUUGCACAUACAGUGGAUGACAUGCAAAUACUUAUGAAUUAUAAUUGUUCUUCUUGCAAGGCAUUUGGACUAAACAUUAGCCUGAACAAGACUGUUGUAAUGUUCCAGCCUGCACCAGAAAAUCCAUAUGUGGAACCAGCUGUCUUGGUUGAAGGAACAAUUCUGAAAGUGGUAGACAAAUUUGUCUACCUGGGCAGCACACUCAGUUGUUCUUGCUCCCUGGAUGAUGAAAUAUUUUUCAGGCUGCAGAGAGCAACUGAUUCCUUCCAGUCUCUUUUGUCUCGUAUCUGGUCCCAGCAUGGCAUCACAAAGCAAACAAAAAUUGCUGUGAACUGUGCAUGUGUACUGACAUCGCUCAUUUACUCAUGCGAGAAAUGGACCCUUUACAAAUGUCAUGUAAGUGUCCUUGAAUGCUUUCAUCAGAGAUGUCUCAGACACAUUCUGCAUAUUGGCUGGACCUUAAAAACUCCUGAGGACAGCUGAUAUCUCAAGUAUUGGGGUGAUGGUGCACAAUCACUGGUUACGUUGGACUGGACACCUUAUUAGAAUGAAGGAUAGUAGGAUCCCUAAGCACAUGCUAUAUGGAGAACUUGUGAAUGGAAAGAGAGCCUGGCAAGUCCUCCUUAAAGGCCUGUGAUAUGCAGGAAACUGACUGGGAGAGCAAUGCCUGUCAUCACCACAGAUGGAGGAAGCAGCUUAAGGAGGGGGUUGACACUUUUGAGAGAGCACAUAUUCUGCAUGAAGAACUCAAGUGUGCUGCUCGAAAGCGCACUGCUGGUGUGGUGAAUGGGGAAAGCUUGGUCUGCAAUGUUCGCUGUCAUGUAUGCUUGUCAAAAGCAGGGCUCAUAAGUCACCAACAGAGCCACAAAUGCAAAAUAUAAGUUAUUCCUAAUGCGCACAAUGUUCCUGAGGGUCAGCAAUAGUCUUCCUCAGUCAUGAGUGGAUGGCCAUCAUAUAUAUAUAUAUAUGUGUGUGUGUGUGUAUAUAUAUAUAUAUAUAUAUAUUAUCAUCAUCAUCAUCAUCGUUUAACGUCCGCUUUCCAUGCUAGCAUGGGUUGGACGAUUUGACUGAGGGCUGGCGAACCAGAUGGCUGCAUCAGGCUUCAAUCUUGAUCUGGCAGAGUUUCUACAGCUGGAUGCCCUUCUGUAGAAAUAUAUUUAUACAACAGGCUUCUUUCAGUUUCCGUUAACCAAAUCCACUCACAAGGCUUUGUUCAGCAUGAGGCUAUAAUAGAAGACUCUUUCCCAAGGUGCCUUACAGUGGAACUGAACCCAGAACCAUGUGGUUGGGAAGCAGGUUUCUUGCCACAUAGCCAUGCUACACUAUGAUUUAAGAGUAAAUUUAUAAAGAAAAAAAUGAAAGCAAGAAAAUUAUUUGAAAAGUAAGACAGUAUUUACAAUUUAACUAAACAGCUACUGGUUUCAGUUGCUUUAAAAUGUUGAUCUAGUCAUGCUAAGCUAAAAGGAAACAUAAAUUGAAAUAAAUUAAAUUGAAUUAAUUUUUCAUUAUAUCAGUUCUUGAAGUUCACAUUUUUUCUAAUGAUGAUUGCAUAGUGCUGUAUUUCUUUUCCAUCUGAUUGCUGCUGGGUAGCAAUUGACUGUAGUAGUAGCCAGCUGUUACUGAAAGUGACAGGAACAGUAGCAGCAAGCGCUCGGAGUGGCUAUAGCAAUUGUCCAUCUUUCUAGUAGUAGUCAUUGUGGUAAAUUUAGUAAAGGUUGAAGUGGUGUUGGUGAUGGUUGUCUCCCUUCCUCUAUCACAAGAAUUUAAACAUGGUUGGUAUUUUGCUAUGAAGGACAUUUCUAUGUUGAUGCAUUGUCAUUGAGUUAUAUUAUCACUAAAUUUAUAUCAAGGGAAAAUUGUAAAGUUUGAUUGUUUCUUGCUUGCAUAAGCUCAGAGUCCUAUUUGUAUGCCCAUAUUUUAAUUUGUGAUCUAUGUAUGACACAUUGUCAUAAAGCAUUUCUCAUUUGAUCAAUGUGAUGUUUUCCACAUCUUGAUAGAUUAGGUUUUCAGAUGUACAGGUAAAGUUAUUUCUUAUUGUGAAAAAUUGUCCCUGUUUGAAACAGAUCUCUGAUCCUUCUGUCAGGUUAAAAUAUAUGCCACAGUUGGAUCUUUUGCCUUUUUUUUUAUUGUUGGUCCUGUUGUUAUGGUGUAAAAUUUGACAUUUGUUAUUUUUUCAUUGAUCUAUAUUGAAUUUUACUCUUUAUGAUGGUUUGUAUCUUGAUGAUUUGGUUCAGUCUGGAUUCCUUUUUCAGUAAUGGUAUGAUUUGGAAUAUGAUGUUGUAAACUUCAUUGUUUUGGAGAUUGUAGGUAGAACUGUAUGUUAGGACCUUCAAUUUUGACUUAUUUCUUUGGAUUUUGUUUAUCUUAGUUCCUUUAUACUGAAUUUCUUGGCUCAUUGUAUUCCAUUAUUGAUUAAGGAUGGUGGAUAAUUCCUGUUCUGUUAGGAAAUAGAAAUGUUAUUCUUAUUAGUAUGUCUGCAUCAGGUGUAAAUCUUGGCUUGAGAAUUUCUACUUAGAAGUCGAGAUAAAUAUUGAAAUCACAAACAUAGACUAAAAAUAGACUUACUGCAAGAAUGAUGCAAUGAACUUCCCUUCUAAUAAAAUAUGUGCUUGAAACAACAUUUUCAUAAAGCAACUGUUCUAAUACUACACAUCAAAGAACUGGUAUUUGUAUUUAUAAUUGUGUCAAUCCUACCUCAAAAAUAUUCACAAAAUUAAUACACUGACUGUUGUAGAAUCCUGACCAGAUAAUUAUACUUGUGAAACUAAAACAGAAAAGGAAUUUAUGGGGAAUUUUCAACUCAGCAAGUGUAGAAAGAAGCUAAAUUAGGAAACGGAAUAAUGAAACUAAUUAUUACCUUGGAUGUAACUUGAAAAUGGUACCAUGUACAUAUGCAUGCUUUAUUAAAAUUUAUUUAUUAUUCAAAAUUCAUUAACAAUAAAGAAGUUUGUAUUUGAGAAAUAAUCAGACAAUAUUCAGCUGAUACAAAUGCUAAAAUUUCCUUUAUUUUUUUCACUGUUUCCAUUUUUCCAUUUUGCAACUGAAAUAUAAUCAAACAAACCAAUUAUUAUAGGUACAAAUAUGAACUUAGUUUUCUUUUUGAAUGUCCUUAAUAUAAAUAUGCACUUUCAUUUCAAGUUAAUUUCCACAACAGAACAAUUCUUCUGUUUUAGGGGACCAUAUCACAUCUGUUAUGUUCAUCAUCAUCAUCAUCAUGGUUUAACGUCCGCUUUCCAUGCUAGCAUAGGUUGGAAGAUUUGACUGAGGACUGGCAAACCAGAUGGCUGCACCAGGCUCCAAUCUGAUCUGGCAGAGUUUCUACAGCUGGAUGCCCUUCCUAAUGCCAACCACUCCGAGAGUGUAGUGGGUGCUUUUAUGUGCCACUGGCAUGAGGGCCAGCCAGGUGGUACUGGCAACGACCACGCUCAAAUAGUGUUUUUUACGUCCCACCUGCACGGAAGCCAGUCAGCUGCUCUGGCAAUGAUCACACUCAGAUGGUGCUCUUAGCGCUCCACUGGAAUGGGUGCCAGUCAUCGAACUUGAUUUGAUUUCAAUUUCACUUGCCUCAACAGGUCUUCGCAAGUAGAGUUUGAUGUCCAAUGAAGAAAUGAUGAAAUUUUAAUUAAUACAUUUCAUUUAUAUUCCUUACUUGGAAGCUUUGGUGAUCAUUGUCAAGUAUCUUUUAUACUUUUAUCUGAAAUACCUUUCCUACAAAUGUCAUUGUAUAUUCCUUGGAGAAAACAGUAUGUAGAUAUCUUGAUGAGUUUGCUUGCAUAAAAGUUAACCCUUGAAAUUUCAUUUUUAAUCAUUAUUUCUUUCCUAAAAACAACAUUUGAGUCAAUAAGAAGGUAAACUUAGAAAUGGAAUCUUAACAUUGCUUCAUUUCACAUGCCCAAGAAUUCAGGUUUAUAGUGAAUAAGAAAUAAGAUUGUGUGAUGUCCAUAACUUUCAGAAAAGCAUUAGUAACAUCAGUAAAAUUAAACAAGAUGUAGGACAAGAUAUUGUGAUAGCCUGGGCUUCAGAGGCCCACGGCUCUUCAAUAUCCUCCCGAAGAACCUGAGGGACCUACAUGGUGUAGAUGCGGAUGUCUUUAAAGUAGGACUGGAUCUCUUCCUGUCAGGUGUCCCGGAUGAACCAACUUCACGGCAUGAGGUGCACAUGAGGGCAGCUGCAUCGAACUCUCUCAUGCAUCAGAUGGCGUUUGCUAAAAAGCAUCCGUGAGGUAAAAUCAUGUAGCAAACCAAAUGGCGGUGCCCCAGCAUGGCCACAGCUCAUUAGCUGAAACUGGAAAAAUCAAAAUCAAUCAAAUCAAACUACAACAUUAGAAAAGAAAUUGUGUUGCACUUUUAGAUAAAUAUUUAAAACAUGCCUGAUUACAAUUAAGAUUUCUUAAUAUAGUAGAAUGGUAUCAAGUAAUUUGUCAACUGUGCAGUGUACAAAUUAUAAGUGGUUCAAGUAGACAAUGAUCUGGACAACAUAUGCAGAAAUGGCAAUGUCUUAUUACAAUGACUUGUAACUCACAAUGGUCCAAUUUAUGAAGUUCCAUUCAGGUCCCACAAGUUUGUACAUUUUGUAGCUGUUAGUAAUGUAAACAUUGUAAUUCAAUGAGUAUUUUGUUAACUUCAGAGUUAACUUUUCAUGCUGGUAUGGCUUGAUGUGUUUCACCUGUCUAAUUUAUCCUACAUUGUAUCAUUGAAAUUUGUUUUCAGUACCCCUCUCCUCUUCCACCAUGACCUAAUGAGAGACAGAAACCACUAACACUAUAGGCCAAAAUAAAAUAGAGAUUCCACUUAUUCAAUUCAACAUUUCCCUAAUUUUGGAGCAUAUAGAUGGCUUAGUUGUAUAGAAUAGUGUUUCUAAAAGUGGGUUUUCAGGAAUGCUAGAGUUUCAUGAAAAAAAUUAUGGUGUUCUAUAAGAUAAGGUGUCUUUUAAUAAAAUUUAAUAAAAUUCUGUCUUAUAAAAUAAAUGGUAUUUGCUAUUUUCAAAUGAAAAAAAGUUAUUUUAUAUAAAUAAAUUCUUUUCGUAAAAUAAUUUUUGCUUCAUCGAACAAAAACUGUGGGUUUGGUUUCCAUUUCUUUUGAAAAUCUUAUAAUGGGCUCCAUGCCAAAAUAUGAGGUGGUAUCAAAAAAAUCUUGGACUAGUUCUGUAGCACAUCAACAUAUGGUAGCAUAUGGUUGUGUGUACAGUGAGAGCUAGCAUUGACCUUCAUGAGGCAGUGUACCAAGUGAUAUCACUGUGUUUACUUCGUAAGUUGUGAAAUUUGUGUUUUUGUAAUCACAUGUAAAAUUUUGUGUUGAACUUGGAAAGUCUGCUACAGAGACAUUGAGCAUGUUCCAGCAAACUUAUGGUGACAAGGCAAUGGAUUGUAUGCAAUGUUUUGAGUGGCACAGGUGCUUCAAAAGCUCAAGAACGUCCCUGGAAGACAAUGAGUGACCUGGAAGACGAUGAGUGAUCUAGAAGACCUGCCACAAGCAUCACCCCUGGAAAUGUGAUAUUGUGCAUUAAGAAUUUGUCCCCAAGGGCCAGACCAUCAAUUGAGAGUUCUACUGCCAUGUUUUGACGCAUUUGAGGGAGGACAUUCGGUGAAAGCAACCAGAUCUGUGGAGUGUGAAGAAUUGGAUUCUUCACUGAGCUAUCCUCACUUGUGAGUUUCUCACCAAAAGCAACAUAAUUUCUACACCUGCCUUAUUCACCAGAUUUAGCACUUGCGGACUUCCAUCUCUUCCCUAAGAUGAAAAUGCAGCUCAAAGGUCACUGUUUUGUUGAGAUUGAGAGUAAAUUGCAGAAGGUCCUUGAGUUGUGUAUGGAAAAUGACUUACAGGUUGGAUUCCAAAAGUGACAGCAAUGCUGGGACCAGUGUAUUGCCUCGCAAGGUGACUACUUUGAAGGAGAUGAUGUUAAAACUUAGGUAAAUAAAUGAUUUUUUAUAAAAAAAUACUAAUUUGAUAGUUUGAUACCACCUCGAAAGUUUGAGAGUCACCAAUAUAGGGUAUCAAAUAACCAAGAUGUCUACUUUCUUUUAUCCUGUCAUUGAAUAUUGUGUAUCUUGUCAUGGCCAAAACACUCAAUAUUCAAAGACUGAAUUCCUGAACUACAGAGUUGUGUUACUUAUUUCUGUAAUCUUGAUGAGUGCUUAGCGGGUUUUUAGCUCACUAAUUUAGUAUAAUGUUCAGUCAUCCUUCGAUAGCUGUAGGAAUUAAUCCAGUGAGGAACAACAACAACUCGUGAGUUUUCAAAGACUUCAUGUACAUGUAGUAUUUAUUCCAAUCCGGGAUGAGAGCAUUUUACACAGCUUGUAUAUUAACAUUCAACAGAACAGAAUGGAAAUUGAAAAAGAAAAGGUUUUUGUCUUGCUGCCCAAUGUGGGGAUGUCCCAUAGCAGGAACAGAGAUGUAGAAGAUGUAGUCAGCUGCAGGCCGUGUGGGAGAGGAGAAGAGGAUGUUACUUAGCUGUGUACGUCUUUUUAUAUCUAAUGAGUGCUACCUAGUUGUUAACAGUGUAACAAGUGAGAUAACUCUAGAUGACUCUCAUUAAAAUAUGAUGACACUGGAUUAAAAUAAGUUUGCCUACAAGUGUUAUCUGGGAUUGCAGUGCUGCGUUUCAGUACAAAAAGUUAUUUCAAUAGAAAGCUAACAGAGUAUUCACUUUCAUUUUUUGUAGCUUAUGUGCGCAAAAAUUUUAUGCUGUGUAAUUUUGUCAUAUGACAGUAAUAUAUGCACACCGAAUUAAAAAGAAGUAUAAUGAAUAAUUACUACAUUAUUUUAUGCACUCGUUUCAAAAUGUGUGUAUCUUAGAGGGAACAGUGGGCUGGUAUCAUAUCUUGGAAGAUUUACCUUUCAUACGUUCAACUGCUGUAUAAACCAAAGCAUAAACUAAUGAUAAGCACCAAUUUAGUAGUCUGCAGGAAUCAGUGGAAGGACAUACAUUUCAACUUUUAACCAUAUUUCUGUGUAUUGUUAGUAGUUAAUCUAAGUAAAAGUUGGCUUGGAUUAAAAACUAGGAUUUUAACUCUAAGCCUUAAGAUAAUGUGUACCAUUCUUUCUAUAAUUAAAUUAUUAUUGUAUGAAUAAAAAUCAGCUUGAUUUUGAGGGCUCAUAAUGAUAAAACGAUGGUUAUGUUAAUGACAGCAAAACCAUAUUGAAAACCUUUCAACCAUGUUUUCAUGUUCAUUAUGAAUGAUUCAGUAUGUGAGAGUGGUUAAGUGUUAUCUUCUGCAGGCUCUUCAGAGUAGUUUGUGGUAAGCCAUCGAACAUCAUGAAACAUCAAUUUCUACAGUUCUUACUGUGUAAAGUGAUGAACUGUAUCAUGCCAUUAUACUCUACAUACUAGUUAUGUUGCCAAGUAAGUGGCAUCUGUUCUUCAAUAGUGUUUUUAACAUCUGAUAUAUGUUAUCUGCAUUUUCAACUUUUAAAUAUAUUACCAUAGUUGUAAGUCUUAAUUUUGUAAGAUUCAAUUAAAAACUUUACUUUCUCAGAUAGCUAAAUAUUAAGAUAGUGAACAAAGAGAAAAAUGAAAGCUAUGUUUUCCUCCUUUAUAAAAAAGAAAACGAAAAUUAUGAAAACUUCAUUUUACAUAUAGAAAUUCUGAGUACAUCAAUUUCUAUAAAUAGAUAUACCAAAACUACUAGUAUUAGCUUGUUUACAAUAGUGUGAAGGCUUCAGUUUUAAUUUGAUUAACAACUAAAGAGAAUUUUGUUAUACAUAUUGUUAUAUAUAUGUUUUAGUAUAUCUCAUUUACAUGAACUACUAUAAGAUAGCUAUAUUCCAGAGAUGCUGAAGUUCAAGAACUACUGGUCUGUUACCCUCACUUCCAACAUAUCAAAUACGAUAGAAAUAGUACUAAAUAAUCACCUCUAUCUUCUUGAGUUACUUUAAUCUCUCACUAAGGACACUAUGUUACAUACUAACAGGGAUGCUUCUAUGCAGUUGCUCAACCUGACAGAAAAAGCAGUAAAAUCUCCCUCAAACUACACUCACUAUUUGAAAAAGGACACAUUGAUUAAUGUAUUGCAGAGAACAGUCUUGCUGACUAAAUUAAUUGAUAGUCAUGAAUUGACUGUUUUAAUCAUAUGCCUGUUUGAUCAGUGCUGACCUUGGGCUAAGCCACAACCAACUGUAUCUCUUGGCUGUAUAAACGUUAGAGGAAGCAAUGGUGUGACUCUUGAUAUCAGUUAGAUGUCAAGGAGUGUUCUUCUGAACUUCAGGUACAAGACUCCUCUUGUAAAGUUACUUACUUAUGGGUUUCACUUAUCUCAGACUUGUAAUUAAAGGUUUCCAAUUAGACUGUUCCAUUAUAUGCUGAUGAACUCUUACUCAAUGCACCUUCUUUCAAUUAAAUGUUUUGUUUUUCUCAUGUUCUUCCUUUCCUACAUCAAUUAUUUGCUUCUUGUUACUUUAAAACAAGCACUCAUAUGCAGAUGAUAACACCCAUCACACCUUCUUAACUUUCUACACACAUGCAUCACCCAUGUGCAAACUAGACAUCUCACAUUGGACUCGAAACACCUCUGUGAUCAGAGUUGUAGAAAAUGUUCUUCAGUGGAGCAAGAUAACCUAAUUAUUUUCAACCAGAUAAGCUGGCAUUGUUUUGAGAUAGGCAUUUCUUGUCCAUAUUUUUACACAGUAUUGUAAUCUAAAUCAAAUAAUCAAAUGAACCGAGAUUUAACCCUUUAGUGUUCAGAUUAUUCUAUCAAACAUAAUGCUUAUUGAUUCACAUUGUUUUGAAUUAAUCAUGCAUUAUCUUAUAUCUUUGAAAUUUUGAUGAUGUUAUUGUUUAAUGUGCAAUAACAUUGUAUGGUAGGUGUGAAAACUUAGAUCUGGUCAGUUUGAAUAUAAAACAGAUGGAAUAUUUUGACUGGAUAUAGCCAGUUUAAUUGCUAAAUUGCUAAACAGUUGAAUAAACCAGCUAUAUAAUUGGCUUCAAGAGUAUUUUAAUUUGUUUCAAGGUUAUUCUAAGUUGCUUUAAGAUAAUUUUAAAUAAGUGUAGAAUACUUUUUGUACAAUUCUUCUGUACAGAUUGCACAUUAAAUAAGUUGGACACCAAUCAUGUGGAGCUCACUAGUUUUCCAAAGCUAUAGUAAAAAAUAUACAUCCAUUUAAAGUUCAGGAUUAAAAUAUGUCAAUUGCCACCUUUAGAAAAAAUAGGCUGGCUUUUGGCGACAAGGAUCUUGUACAGAACAGAUCUUUACUAUAUGAGUUCCAGAUGCCUCUUAUUGUCUACUCUAUUGAUAACUUUUGAUAGCACCCAUAACACAUAUAUCAUUGUGGAAAAUAAUAACACUCUGCAGUGUCCCUGAGAUGUACAUCAACAUCUUUAGCUCCCUCUAUGUUAUGCUUAGACCAAGGAAGGUAGUACAGAGAUGUUUGAUAUUGUGAUGAGUGUUCAUCAGGGUUGCAUCUUGCGUUUCUUGUUCCUCAUUGUUAUCAAUUUCAUUAUGAAGAAGACAAUGCGUGAUAAUCUUUGUCAUCAGUUGAAACAGGGGAAGACUGGGCAAUACUGGUUUCAUUGAUGGUAUUGCAGUCAUGAGUGACACCCUGAAUGACAAACAUAAGAUGGUAAGUAAAUUGAAAAAAACAUGACCGAUGCAUCAGUUGUGAAAUAUGUCUAUUGGUGAUCUCCCAGACUUACUCACUGCAAUUAGCCAACACUGCUUUUCAUAUCUUGGAAGUAUCAUUUCCAAUGAUAGUGAUGCAGAAGUAGUUGGAAAAACAAGGCUUAACUAGGCUGCAGAAGUCUUCUAAUGACUUGAUCCUGGGUGGAACAAGCAAUCUAUCAGCAAUGUUGUCAAAUUUACUCUCUACAGGCCCAUCAAAAUUCCAACAGUGAUAUAUGCACAUGUGACUCACAAAAGUAUAGUCAGCACAUGCAGCAAGCUGGAUGUUUUUUUAUAGGUGAUGCAUCUGGACCAUACUGGGAUGGACCUAGAAGGAUUAUGUGAAAUCAUCAAAAGUAAAAGAUUUGCAGAGCACAUUUUGUAUCUGCUAAAACAUAGACCAGUCUACAUUACCAUGAGCUGGGUGGUGGAGAAAAGCAGAAGAGGAAAGCAACAGAAGACAUGGUGGAAAAUUUCAUGUAAUACUUACAAGAGAUUGUAGUUACAUGAAGUGAUGCAAGAAGAGCAGGAACUGACAGGACUAAAUAGAGACAAUUCAUUGCCAAAAUGUCCCUCAGAAGGUGGAGGAAACUAAGACAGAGAAAAAAGAAAUUUCCUGAUAUAGUCACUCAUACAUUUAAAUUGAUUAUAACAUUACAUCUUUUUAAAACUAGGAGCAUGUUAUGACAUUUAAAACACCUACACUAUUACUGAUUGAUAUUAUCUUUUGAUCUUUUCAGUCACUGGACUGUGGCCAUGCUGAGGCACCACCUUGAGAUAUAGAGAUAUAAGGAAAUUUGUAAAGCAGUAAGAGGAGUUUAAGAGUUUUAAUUAUUGUGCAAAAAUAAUAGUGACCUUAGAGUUGAGAAAAUUAAUUUGCAGUGUUUGAAGGUAAAUU